rnacentral:lncRNA from 1 species
GGUGGACGUAGCCUCACGGUGCAGCAGGUGAAACAGUGCGUGUUUGUAGUUUCAUGUUUGUAGUCUACAACACUGAGAAGUUUGUGAACCACAGUAGACUGUCAGCAGGGAUUAGGACGCCCAGGAAAAAGAAGUGCAUGAAUAUGAUGUGAAGUGCAUGUUGAGUCACAGUCUUAGUUUUCCUCCUAGUAUGGACUUUAUCUAACUAUCCAGCACCACUUGUGUGACCUGCUUGGCUGCAUAGCUUUGACUGUAAGUAUUUGGCUUCUUCUUUAUACGAAUGUGUUGUGUAUACUCAUCUUAAAGGAAUAUUCUGGGGUAAAAUUACAUUAGGGUCAAAAACACCAUAACACCAAGUUAGACACCCCCUUGAGAGAUGAAUGUUGCCGACCACUUGCUUCUCUAGUUAUACCAACUUUAGAAACGACUGCUGGAUAGCAAUGCACAGCGGUCUGAGGAGCCAUAAACAAACCUCAACCAAAAAGCCACUCUAUAGUCACAAAUAAUGCUCAGAACAGCACCUAACUUUAAAACCUAACACCAGAAAGCCUUUACUUUUAGAAAGUAACUGUGUGUCAUUUUGAGACUUGUGAAUUAGGCUACUCCUAAAGUUUUGGUGAACUUUUUCAGUUUUGGAUGUUUGAAUUUUCUCCAAUAGGCUGCAACUUGAGUCAAAAGAGAAAAUGUUUAAACAAAAACAACACAGUUAAAUGCGCAGUAAACAGGAGAUUUAAAUUGGCUGUGGAAGUACAGAAAUACAAUCUGGUGCCUUUGUAAGACCUCCAAGAAGUAAGCUACCAAUGCUUGGAAAGUUUUCUACCUCUCUGAUAACUUUGAUGCCUGGAGGAGCUGCCACAGAGUGGCAUGGUUAGAAUGAUAAACAGCAUGAGAAAGGCAAAAAGCCUUUGUUUAGGUUUUUGACAGAAACUUUGCUUGUAGAAAGGGUGGUUCAAUAUCAAUCAAUCAAUCAAUUAAUCUUCAUGUAAAAUAUAAUAGUAUAAUUUUUGAUAGAAUUAUAAUCUGUAAUCUGAAAUGUGCCACGAGUAUGUUUAAAAAAAAACUGAACUUUUGCAUUGGAUUUCAGACUGUAUGACUGUGUUCUUGCAGAGCUAACAGGCUGAAGAUUUUUCCCACAAUUCAGUUGCCCAUUUGAUUGUCUGGUGCGAUCCUGUGAUGGAAAAGUAGUGGAAAACACCUCACAGCUACUUAUGGAGGCUAUCCCAGUAAAGUUAUACUGUAAAACAUUUUAUGAACAUAAUUUUCCAAUUUAUCAGUUUGAAAUUAGAUACAGUCAGAUUAGUUAGUUAAUGAGUCAAAUUGGCCAUGGGUGGAAUCUGUGAUUUUAUAUAUCCAUACAGAAAUAUGCGUCCAUACAUUGGAGACAAGAGGCGUCUUCCAUUUAUUGGAUGUACAUAAAUGGAAAUGAGGUAUCAGGGUUUGCACUAAACCUGCAGUUUGAAAUGGGCUCUAGAUCUGCACUAUAUAGUAUUACUAUUUACAUAAAUCUAUCAUGAGCAACACUGGCAACUUACAGCGAUAAGGAUAACUCAUAUUGAACAGGCAGAAACCUCGAACAAAACCAGACUUGAGUUAAACAGCCUUCUGCUGGGACUAUAUUUGAUAAAGAUCGAGGUAGAGACGGACGGUCAAUAAAACACACACUAACAAAUGCAUGAAGUCAAUUCACAGCAUUUAUCACUGAUACAGAUUAGACAUGAAUCUCCAGUGGAAUGAAAAUGUUCUUUUGGAUACACUCAGUGAAGCAGCUCCAUCCCUCUCCCAAACUCCUCCAUCUACUCCUUUCAUCUCAUUACUCUAUUUCCCUCCUCUUCUGUCUUUCCUGUCCACCCCUCAUGGACCUCCUCCCCCCUUGCAGUCAUGACUAUAUCUGCUUUUCAAACCCCUAUACAUCUCUUUCAGCUUUUGUCUGUAAAUCCUUAUUGCAUUAUUCCCUGCUCUCCCUUCUUCUGUUCUGACUCUGUCUCUCGGCCAUCUCAUAUCCCUGUCUCUCCCUGUUUGGAUUCUGCAGCAUAAGGCAUGAAACUCUCCUCUGCCCCCUUCAUUCCUCUCCUCCCUCUUCAAGCCUUCCCUUUCCCUGGCUGUCCAAUCUCAAAUCCCUCUUGCCGCCUGCCUUUCGUCUCUCUCCCUCUCUCUCUCCCUGUCCUCUUUCCCCAGCCAGAGGUUAAUACACUCCAGGAUGGCAUUAUUUCCUCCCCGGCCCUCUGACAAUAUAAAAAUUCAGAAUGGACAGCUCAAUCCCUCUUCCAUCUCAGAUUUGAUUGUAAUGGUAUUGCCUCCUGUCCCUGGGAGGCCCCUGCCGCCUCGCCACCUCGGCCUUUAUGACACUAAAUGGCCAGGCUACAAUUUUUCCAUCUAUUCAAAAAAUUCUGUUAAUAACUCAUUUGGAAUGAGACGUCUGCGGCCAGGUCUCUCACCCCUCUGCUUAUAGGGGUCACAAUAUACAGAGAAAGAUGCAGGGCUGAAUCGCAAAUGUAAAAGGCUAAUUAAUCUCCCUGAAUUUACAAUCCCUUUUCCCCCCAUUCCCUUUGCACUCCAAUUGACAGUCCCAAAGAGACAAAAAUGUCAUAUUUACAACCUGGCAUGGAGAAAGUGCUCAGCAAUGCACAGCAGUGUGAGCGCGAGCCGGUCUGACCACUUUCUCUGCUCCACCGUCCAACUUUACAAGUGUACCCAUUCAUCACGGCUGAUGGAUUUAUGUAAUAAAACCCAUUUCCUUCUCCCAUACGAUCCUAUUAAAUAAUAAAAUAAUUAUUUAUUGAUUAUUCAAAAAGGUACAUAUGCGCGGGUAAUGGCUUUGUAUCACACCACUGGACCCGCAAUAAAUAAAGAAGGCAGAGGGAAGGCUGGAGCGCGACAGAGAGGAAUAAAGCAGGGAGAGGGAGAGGGUGGGAGAGAGAAGAGGGGAGAAAUGAAGGGGAAUGAAAUGACUUUUGAACCAGUGAAAUCUGGAUCCAAUAUGGCCUCUUGCAGAGCGGAUCAGGAAGGACAUUAUUCAAUCUUCAGGAGGCUCAUAUGGGAGCGCGACCUAUGAAUGGUUUUGAUAUACUAUAUGGACCGUAGAAAUUAAAAUAGACAACUGAAUGAGUGCUUAAGUGGAGCUUUUAGUCUAAUCUUUUCAAAUGUGCUGAGCUAGAAAUAGACAACAAUAUCUAUUUUUGACAGAGUAGUUUUUAUGUCUGUUAGAUAGGGUCAAAAUCUGCUGUUGAGUUUGGAGAGUCAGCCAAGAAAAUACCUCUUAAACAUUAUCGCAUAAUAUGACUUAUUAAAAGAUUUUUGCCCGCUAUUCCCUCCUUACUUUACCCCACUCAGGAAAGACCAUUAAUACUGAAUUUAAACAUUUACAGAGAUUGAAAGUGUUUGUGUUGGAGCUUUUUGUAGAGCAAGGCUUUUGGGUGUUUAGCAAACUGACCAGGAAGGUAAAAGUGAUCGCUGUUUUUCUUUUUAACUGUUUUUCUAAAAGACACAGCUCCACACAUAUGUAAACACCCACUCCCUUUUAGUAAUCCUUCAUAUUAUUUAUUCAACUUCAGUAUCGGAAGACGCCCCCUAUCCCCAGCAGUGAAUCAUUAUAAAAGAAGACACUUUAAUGUCAGCCAGAUAUUACAUUGGGGGCUUCUUAAUAAGCCAUUUGUGUUUGGACUAUCCUGGGCUAAAGUGCACCCGCUCUCCGUUGUCUUUUUCCUGGGCUUGUCUCAAGCCUCCUGCAUGCUACGAAAAACAGAUGCUAUCUCAGCUAUAUUACUUCUCAAAGCGCUCAUAUCCUCUCCCAUGUUAUUUUCUUUGAUCUGCUAGGCUCUCUGCUCUUACAUUUUUCUUUCCCCCCUCGUCUCACGCCCUCCUCCUCCUCCUCCACCUCCACCCCAAUCCCUCCACCCCCAUCCUCCAUGCUUCAUCCUCUAUCCUCUUUGCCAGUGACCAGAGACACAGCAGCCAGACUGGCUUGGGUUGGCUGUGGACGUUUGAAAUUCACUUCAUCUGUUCCCUGUCAUCAGAGGGCACAGGGUGCACGGUGGGUUGGACUUUUUAGAUUCUCCAUUUAAUAUGCCUUGACCAUCAGAGGAGGCUUCAGAGGAGGGCUCAUAUCAGGGCCGGGGUCAUUUCACAUCCAGUGAACAGGCCGUUUAAAUCAGCGACUUAAGCUGCAGCCUUCAUACUAAACACUUUUUUACUUAUUGACAGCAGUUCUUGCAUAAGCUCUUAAUUAUAAGUGAGUCAAUCCUGGGCUAUGUGCUUUAUUUAAACAAUGAAAAAAGUUUAUUUACAUCAGUUAAUCAAAUUAAAGCAUUUGUUUUUAGAACUCUGGUGGUUUCAGGAGUUUUUGUGAAAUACUAGGGCUUUUAAUUGUUUUUUUUUUUCACAUUUCUGAUUAAUUACAGAACUAAAGUAGUUUAUGUCGAUUAUUUGCAUUUUUAAAACUGCAUUGUCAUGCGUUUAAAUAGAGUUUCUAAACUGCACACCAUUUAAAAAUAAAGUUUUUAAUCUGACACAUGCAAUAGGAUGUAUUUAGUGAUUUUGACUUACAGAUUUAAUAUUUAAAAAUGUAAAAUUAGUGUUAAUGUGAUUUGCAGUUUAACUCUGUUAAUAAUAAUAUAACUGUCAUUACUCUGAGUAUUAAUUAUAGCAUUUGCACUCUUUUUGGAGUGUAACUGUAUUUACUCUCUUUGUUUCUUUUAUCCCCAUGUCUGUGGUGACUCACGCUCUCAUAUAAAAUGCUCUUUUGUGAUAUCAGUUAGCAUGGUUGCACCUGUAUGCUUAGCUCCUAUUGGCAGGGGGCUCAGACUGGGAGCUUUAAGUCAAUUGUUGUGAUAGUUAAAUUCCAUAUAACUCAAAGGACUUCAGACUCUACUGAGCUGGUUCUUUUAAGUGAAAUGGGUCAUUCAAAAGCACAGUGGUGUUGUGCAGCAGAAAGAUGUUUUGGUGGCCGAAUAAAGUGAAUAAAAAUAUCAACAUACUAAGUAAUUGCAUCAUGAUCAACUAGUAUGUUAAUGCUGACAGCCCUAAAGAUAUAAAAAUCUAAUGGCUCCAUAGAGUUAGUUAGCUUAAGUCAAAUGAUGGUCAAUUACAUUUUUAAAACUGUUUUCUUGUUUGUUUGAAAUUCUAAAGUAAUAAACAAUCAGAAACACAACACAGCAGCCUUUUAAUGCCUUUACCCUCAAUCACCCCAUCUCCCUCUAUGCUUAUCUGUAAGGUUAAAAAAAGUAUUUAACUCAGAAGUGUCUCUGACUGCAUGAGAACUCAGUUUAUUGAAUCAUUUUUAAGAAAGUUCAGAUAAUGGAGCUUAAAGUUGAUUAAAUGUGCAUCACAGCUUUCCCUUUCUAUCAAACUUUAACAAGUAAAUACUUUUUUCCUGCAAGUUUACAGUGCAAGGCAUGAAACUCAAAUUGUCUGUCUGCUCUUUCCUUUUUUUGUGGCAGCAUAAUGGAAACAUGUCUUAACAUUUUUCAGACAUGAACAACAAAUACUGUACCCUAAGUGAUGAAUCAUAGUUUAAUAUAUGCCUCAUAACUGUCAAAAAGCCUGGCAUCAUAAAAGAAAGACACACUUGUAUUUUUUUGUGAUAGAUUACAAGUGUUCAGAUUUUUGCAGACACUGAGCAUGAGCAAAAACUGAACAAAGUUUCAUAAGAAAGACAUUUCUUGUAUGUGGAAAAAUCUAAUUUUGCAGUUUUUACUGCAUAUUUGACACACCACAGUCUUGGCCUGUAUUUGGUUCACUUUCCAUUAGAGUUAGAAGUGUCAUAGAGUACAUUAGUACAUAUAUGUCAAAAUAGGAAUCACUGCAGUGUCAAAAACAGUUCAAACUCUGCAGUGAAAUUGACUCUUUCCUCGAGGUUGUAAAGCUUUUGCAGAUUAAUUCCCAAACUCUCUCAGUUGUGUUAAACUGAUUUUCCUGCACAAAGCCAUUUAAAGCAACAUCUGUGUGGAUAGGUGGCACUUAGAAACCGGGGAGUCUUUAGCUUUCUUAUGAGCAGCCAGGAGGGGGAAGCAUCCCUCUUUGCAAGUGUGCUCACAAGAGAAGGAAAGAAAAGUAAUUAAACAAACAAUUUACAAGGAAUCGUGUGUCUGCGUAUCCAAUCCAGCGUACUCGCUUUUGCUCUAAUACAUAAAGACAGAAAUGAAAAAAAAAAAGAUUGUUUGUUGUCUCCUCAGAGUGAUGGUAAAUGACACGUGUGUUUCAUUGCCCAUUCAUUUAACCUUCAGUGUGCCUAUGAAGAGAAAGGGAUUGAGAAACAAAUUAUGUGGUGUCAUUUAAUUAGGAGUUUUGCUGUGAGCAAUAAUCCUGUAAUUUUUUUUCCUUAUAACCUUUAACUACUUAAUGGAUUUGAGAAGCUAUUACCUUUCAAGAUUUCUGUUUUUAAUUAUUUGGAGUAUUGUUAGAGAUAUGAAAUGUCAAUCAUUCACCAGGAUUAAUGCUGAGGUUUAAUAUUAUUUACUUCGGGAUUGAAGCGAGAGGUUGACAGGAUUAGGGAAAUCACUAAUUUUAAGUAUUUUACAAACAAAAAGAAAAAAAAAUCCUCUUUUUGGCUUAUUUAGCUGAAAAUCAUUUAUCCUUAUGUGCACAUUUAUAUUUAACACAACCUCAUCUUAAAUCCAUGAGAGCCAGUUAUUUACAUAGAUAUUAACAUUAAAUUUAUAUUUAUGGCAAGACACAGUAAAUCUCAGAGUAAUAUUGGAAAAAUGGCUUCCUGAAUCUGUGAUUAAAUUAUAAUAAUGACUCAUUUUUAAUAUGUACAAACUCAAUUUAUAGUUUCCUCCUUUGGCGCUUAUACUGUAGGUGUGCAGCAUAAAAAAAAUAUAUAACCCGGGAGCUGUUCAUGUGUGUGUGUGUGUGUUGCACAGUCGAGGGCUUACCUCUCACCCUGAUCACGUUUAGGCAACUCUGUGAAAGUGGCAGACAGAGUUUGUUUGGUUUCCCCUGGAGGACAUCGCAGCUCUCUGCCAGCAGACCAACCCACGUGCGGUGACAUCAGGCCCGCCUGUGUGGAUACAAAUGUCUCCUUAAAUACAUGAUCCAUGUGAGGUGCGCUUGAUUUAUUUUGCCAGACACUCACAGGACCAUGAGGGCCAUGCGUGCUCAUUUUAAAUCAGUGCUUCUCACACAGGACCCUCCUGCGUACCUGGGUUCAAAUGAUAUAUUUCAUAUUCUGAAGUGGAUCAAAAAACAUUCAUCAGAAACACCUGAUGUAGCUUGUCUAGAGGGGGAUAGUUUCACCAGAGGAUCAGCAAAUGUCUUGGAGGAUAAAUGAAGCACACCCUGAGCAGUUCAAAUAUUCAAAACCUUAUUCAAAUAGAUGUUUUCACCCGGGUUUGACACGGCUCUUAGGCUGGCACAUUGGCUCCUCAGACCCCCCAUGGCACGGGGCAUGUAAUCAUCCUGAAAGUCUCUUUGGGUGUCUGCACCCUCAUAAAGCAGGAAAAUGGAUCGUGUGGCCCAGGAAGGGAAAAUGAAAGAAAAGGAGAAUGAAAUUACAGACCUGGCUGACUGCACAAAUCAUGCAUAUCAUGUUUUAUGGCUUGCCAGAAGAAUUCAACACCUGUGGAUCACCGUAGCUAUAAUUGUACACGAGUACACCGGGCUGGGAGUGGGGGCAGAGUUUGUGGUUUGUGUGUCACUGAAUAUGUGAGUGAGAGUGUGUGAGCCUCGUAGGUGUCUGUGGAUAUGCGAGUAUGUUUUUCUUGGCAUGGCCGAGCUUUAGAAACAGAGGGGAGAUGAUAAAAGAAAGUUACGGGAACGCCUGUUGUUCACUUCUCCGGUACAUCCUGGGUGAGCCACCCGCAGCCCACAGGGCGCGCUCGCAGAGGCUUCAUUUACCAUUGUAAUUACCCUGUUUAUUUACCCUACCUGCUUUUGGUGGUAAAACGGGGGCCAAUUCAUCAGAUUAGGACAAUUUGGCCUUGCUUUGGCUUUGCCAUUUACUUUAAUUAAAUGAGGCAAUCAGUGAAACAUAAAUCAAGAUCUGUGUGACCACUGGCUUUGUUUGAACCUGGACCUCUUUUACAAAGCUGACACACCCUCUGUUCAAACUUACAUUAGAUACAGCUGCUCUGCAGCUCCUCAGUAUGCAGAUUUACCUUUAAAAAAAGUGCAUUUGGGAUUUUUUUCAUGCAAACAUACUUUUUUAAAAAUCCUGUGCAUGUAUCGUUGAACUUAUUUCAGCUGUAAGUAUUUUUUUGACGCUUUAAAGGUAAAGUCACGUGCAUGAACGAAGGCUAAAAACUAAACGGGAUGACAGCACAGCAGAUCAAAAACUCUCCCCUCCCUCCUCUUCUCUCCUUUUUCUCCCUCCUCUCCACUGUGGAUGCUGAUGCUUGAGUCAAAUUGAUUACACCACUCCAUCUGCAUCACGACCGGCCUCCUCCUGUGUUUGCCGCCUCUGCCUACAGCACAGAGUUAGUGUACAAUUACAUAUAGUUUAAUAUAUCUGCCUGAGCACCUUUAAAUAAGCAUCACAAGUCCACAAGGUGAUUUGUCUUCCAGCCCCAUUACUCCAUUGUACAUCUUGAUAGCCAGGGAUCGCUCCUAGCUAUGUUUAAGCAUUAAAUAGUGUAUUAUUAUUUCACAUAAAUCACGCUGAGAUGUGAGGGGGGUAUUCAUAAAUUUUGCAUUUCUCACAGACAGUAUUUUAAAGCCUCUCUCCCUCUCUCUCUGCAGCUCUGAAUUUGGAGACUAAAGCAAUUCUGCUCCCUGCGCUUGAUAGUACAUUAAAGAAGGCAUAUCAGGGAGGUAUAUUCAAAACAACAUGUAAUGCAGUUUAGAUUAAGUUUGAGGCGCUCUAACACAUUCAUCAUGCACACUUUCCAUAAUAAGUACCCCUGUCUUUCUCGCUGAUGCAUCCACACACAUGCACCAUUACCACCAAGAGUACUGUAUUGUUAUUGUCAUGAAUAAUGGGGGGAAAUACUAAUAAAAGUCCAUUUAUCACAAUAUUUUCACUGCUAACUACAGCUACUGGAUCUCGUAUCUGUGCUACACGAUGCUCGGGGAAAAUUCAAUUUUAAGGUGAAUGUCUGCCAUCAGUAAGAGUGGCCCUUAACCCCUUACCCCAGCUCCCCACUCCCUCCUGAUAUUAGUCGUGUGUUUGUGCAAAACGUCUACAGAGGAAAUGACUUCACUCAGGAAACUGGAUGUCAGCUUUGCGCACGAGCGGGAGAGCUGACAGUGUUUUAGUCAGGCCGACAACACGUCCUUUUCUCGGCUCGCUCUCCACGCUCAUGGUAAAGCUGUAAAAAGUGACAAAGGAGGAAAUUGAACUUGGAGUUGUUAUGGUUACUCCAAGGACGCUUUGCAGAUUUGUUUCUAUUUCCCGUCUCCGGCUUUGUUUUCUGAUUGGUGGAGAGGUCGUCGGGUAAAACCAGGAGGUCACCGAAACUGUAAAGUGAUGUGUUUAGAGUGGAACUUUUCACUUUCUCCUGUUGCUUUUCAUUCAGACUUUGCCUGAUGUGUUUAUGUAAACUAAUAAGAGUACCUUGUGAUUGUCUGCAGUCGAAAAUAUUACCAAAACAUUACCUUGACCAUCCUGUGUUUCUUCAAGUCGAUGAAAAUCAAACCAAAAAUACAUCACUUCAAACAAUGCAAACGUCUGCUAUGAUUGACUUUAGCGAUUUCAUGCUCACAUUGCAACCGUACACCACAAUUAAACCUAAUUUUCACUUUUAAAACACGCUUAUCAUUUCCUACACAUUAUAAUUAUAUGACCCACUGGCCCGGGGGGGCUUUAGUGUUGCAGCAAAAUCAGUAAAAAAAAUCUUGUAAAAGUCCUCGCAAAUUGGAAAUUGACGAGAUGCCAGGACAGUAAGUUGAGGAUUGAGAGGAGGGGAGCGGAGGAGAAAGAAAAAAAAAUGUCUUUGAACUAGUUUUUGCUUGCAGAAAAAAAUAUCGCUCCUGGGUUGAUAUUCUUUCUGAAGUGUUUCAUGGCGAUGCGAAUUAAGAAGUAAAGUGCAGAGCCAAAUGAUUCAGUGAAUAGACGGCACACACCCACAGGUAUUCUGUUCACAUGACAUCACCCCUGUGUUAAAUUGACAACUUCAUAUUCUUUUAACUUUUUAGGUGCGAGCAAAGAAGAAUUUGAGAGAUAAAUCAACGAUAGAGAGCGGUGUUAUGGAGGACAUUUGUAUUAUGAAUGUGGAUUGAUUAAUAGUUAUUUGGUCGAUUUUUUUUCCCACUCUCUCUCUGUCUCUACCUCUCCCUUUAUUACUCAGAAGAAUGUGUCUUCUGACCUUGACAUGUGCAGGCUGGCUGCAUGUUUCCCUCACCUCAGCUCAUGAACUGGAAACUUUGCUCCUGUCAUCCCUCUAUCUCUUUCUGUCUCUGUCUUGUGAUCACUCUGCCUCCUCAGCUUACACACAGAGCGCACACAGAGCAGCAAUACCUGGGAGGAUAAAUGCUCGGUUAAAUUGAAUAAACAUAAUCCAGACAUGCUCCAUUCCUGCCUGUCUGUCAGGGAGAACUUACUCAGGGGUCCCUGAUUCCAUCAGCCGAGGAGGCGCACAAACAAACGCAAAAGAUUAGAUGUCAGCUGAAAGGCCGGUGUUAGAAAAAGGAUUAUUCACUUCUGUUGUGAUAAAGAAAAUUUUCAUCAAACAUCUGAUAAUCUGUGAUUUUACUGAGCCGGUUUUAUUGCUUCCUUUGUUAUCUUGUGAUGACAGAUAGCUUACGUUCACACAAGUGUUUCAUCUGUUUCUGUUUGCUUCUGCUCCAGAGAAAGGCAAAUACAACACAGUCAGAGCUCAAAAGUGCAAGUACAUCACCCAACUUCAGCCCUGCAUCUUUUUUUUUUUUUUUUUGGCAGCUCUCUGCGUGUUUGGCGAAUGUCUAAAAAAAUUGCAUAAACAUACAAAUUAAAGAGUAACCCCCUCCAUCUUUGUUCAUGCUCCCUGCGUUGCCAUGUCCUCUUAUGUUAAAACAAAGCAUGUGCCUGUCAAUCAUAUAACCAUAGGCGCUCUGGGUGGGGCUGGAUCGCGCUCUUUUGAAGUGAACCUGUCAUGGGAAAUCUGCAUCACUGGGGCUCACUUCAAUCACAAGCACAAGAUUAAUUGUUCGUGGUGCACCACUUCAAACACCUUUAACCAUUACGCAUUACGGGAUGAACCUUUGCAAGGCCUUUCGUCACCUAUAUAUACUCACACCUGCACCCACACACACGUUAAACAAGGAGGGUAAAUUCCUGUCUGUCUAUAAAAACACACACAUGCAGACACAUACAUCCUUAUGCUUCCUAAAACACAAAAAGUUCGCAAAUAUUUACAUACGCAGCUGCACAGAGGUAUAUUUCAAGAUGUAUAAAUUGACAAUUUAAUGUGCAUUGACAAGUUACACCCCCUCUGCCCUCCAAAUACUAACACACACAUAUACACACAAACACACAAGCAUGCAAAGACUCCACACAGACUGCAGCAACACAACAUUAAGCGGUUUUCUCUUCUCUGUUAUCUCCAGCUUCCUUUUUGCCCUUUGGUUAAACAUUCUCUUGGCAUGCAUGAUCUCAUUUAACUUUGAUUUCCUCUUUUUCCAGGACGGCAUCCUCGGUGGUUCCAAUUUCCAGCCCAUUCCCCAAUUUUCAACCCCAAUGACAGACAACACAUGCUUGAAUGGCUGUUCGGCUAAAGGAGGGAGUUGGUAAGUGAUGAUUUUAAAUGCUGUUUAAGAUAAAAAGGGGAGUUUAGAGCAGAUAAGGGUUCGUAUGAGUUAGUGAGCAGGAAGCUGGGAGAUGUUGCUGCUCUGAAUGUGCCAAUUCAGAAGCUGCUCUCCACCGAUUGUGAUUUAUGUCACUGAGCUUUAGGAAACACUGCUGCAGAUUACAGGCAGGAGAAGUGAACGUUUGACUUCUCUGAAACAGUAAUUAUUCUCAUACUGUACGCAUUUACAAAGAGCUCGUGAUUUUUUAUCCAUAAACAAUAACAAAAUAAAUGUCAAGUAAGUCUUUUGCCUUCAUUUAUCAUUCUGCAUAUUUAUACUCUUACUUUGAAGUCGUCUCACAUGACUUUUUGUACAUAAACUUUUAAUUAACUGUUUAUAUUUGUAUUGUUUUCUUAUAAUAAUAUUGUUUCUUAACAGUAGGAGUUCGGUUGUUUUCUUGUUGAGUGUUUUUGAGUUUUUCUAGGUACUUUUUUCUGAACUGAAAAUCUUAAAAGAAUUGCUUGAAUUUAAAAACUGAUUAAACACCAACUAAAACUCUGAUUCUGAUUAUUAUUUUAAUUAUAAAUAAAGUUUUUUUGUUCUUUAAACUAAACCCGUAAAAUAUAUUUAUUAAAAUCACUGUUUGUAAAUCAAAUGAAUUAAAAAAAUUCCUUGUCUUGAGUGUUUUCUAAAAACUUUUUUACUCGUCCAACAUGUUUAAAUUUUACUUUUCUAUUGGCUUUGUGAAUUAUUUAUUUUGACCUCCUUAUGCAAAAAUCAGAGUAAAUAAACAAGCUUUAGGUAAAAAAGUGUAAAAUAUAAUAAUUUCUUCAGGGCUGUUAAUUAACAUGGAAGUACUUCUGUUUUUAACUUCUAUGUUAAACAUGAUUUUGCGUAUUUAAUCUCAGGUGUCACACAUUUCCAAAGUUUUGUAUUUCUGUAGUUCUUUCUUUAAAGUUUUUCCCUUUACAACAGCUGUGUUUUCCUCUUGUAAACAUAAAUAAAGUUCCUUCUUCCUCUGUUCAAGUUCCCAAAAAUAAAACUUUGAAUCCAGAACGAUAAAAUCCAACAUUUGAGAAUCAUUAAAAAUAAUGUCUGUGGUGAUGGCAUCUGACACAAACACAAUGUUGACUUAAUUUGCUCCUGAUUAACCCCUCGACUGUGAACACUGUGUCCAGCAUGAAGGACUUUUUUGUUGUUUGGAAAAAGCCGCUCAUUGUCGGGCUUUAAGUGGUUUGUGUAAUCCGCUAUAACUAAUACCAUGAAGGCAGAGGAUUCUGAAAAUCUGUUUUCAGCACAUUUUGAGUAGGAGCGGACCUGGGAACUCUCUCUCUCUCUCUCCCCUCUCCCUCUCUCUCUCUCUAUGUCUCUCCCUCUCUCGCUCCCUAACUCUGUCAUGAAACAGAGCACCCCAUUUCCAUAUCAAUCGGAUUAGUUCCAAGACCAGGGAAGUAGGAGUAAUGUAAGUAAGCGUACAAAUUUAAAUAUAGGACAUCAAAAACAUUGUUAGGCAUUCAUUUAUUUUUGCGGCAGCCCCGGCUCUCUGUGUCUCUCUCUGUGAAGAUGAGAUGAAAAUGCAUCUCUUCAAAUUGACUUUCAUUUUCAUGUGAAAGGUGCUGAACACCGCAGUAUUUCAACAUUUCAUGUGCGCGCCACGGCGUCCCGCUGUUCUUGUGUGCUUAACCUCGUUUGUGGGAAUGAAUAUGUCACAUCAAGCAAUACACUUGUUCUGAAUGCAACAUCAAAACAAUUUCAGGUGGGCAGCGUUCACACAGGCGGCACAAACAGGCUGCAACACGCUGGACUCCUGGAUGCUCUGAUACUGAUGCCAGCUGGCAGCCAAAAGUUAUGCUUUGACAUACAAUUCAGUGCACUGCUACAUAUGUAUCAGAGGAUGUACAUGGUCUGGGAGUUUGAUGCAAUGCAUGAAAAUAAAAUGCAAAACUUCACAAACCCCUCAGUAACCAGUUAAGUUUUUCAUUUAAAUUGUUUUAUAUUGCAGAGUUUAUGAUUUAGAGUUCAAAUUUAAAACUUUUUGCUAAAUUUUACAUAUUUUCCAGAACUUGAAGGGACCACUUAAAUUAGCUUUUUUUUGCAUCAAGACUUUUUGAAUUUGUCAGGAACUUCUAUUUCAACAAAAUAAAUAAAUUGAUAAUAAAAUGCUAAUGGUACUUGUUGUGUUAGGGUCGCUGUUGACCAGGUUAGAUCAAUAUCUAAUAAUCAGAUCAAAAAUCAAAAUCAUAAGUGCACUGUCAGGCACCACACUGACAGUCAGAUCCUCUUCCAAUCAUGUGAGAUUUAGGAAAUUCUCAUUUUGCCAUGUUUCCCUGCACAAAAAGCAACGUCAGGCAUGUCCAGACAUGUAAGAUCAAUUCAGUAUAGAUGUCUGUAUGAGGGGUAUACUGACAAAGCAAAGCCCAGGGUACCACAACAAAAAUACAAGCAAUAUUAACCUAGAGAUGAGAACCAAAUUGGAUGAUAGAGAAUUGAUUUUAGUGUAAUUUACAGCUGAUUUAAGAACAUGGGUCAAAACAUUAACAUUAACAUGGUGGGUAGGUAGUAAAAGCUAAACAGGAGGAAGGUUAAAGACUUUUUUGUGUAUUUUUUUUUUGUUACAUGGGGGAAAAAAAUAGCGGGUUCAAAGUAAUUAGAAGGUAAAACAAACAUUUAGAUUUUCUGUAUUCUUAAAAUUAAACAUCAGAUUUUCUGUUCGUGUUGAAAAUUCGUUCUCUUGUGCUCCGAAAGUUUAUUUUGAAAAGCAGCUCCAGAGAUAGUGAGGUUAGUGUGUGUUUAUGUGUAUGUGUGUGUAAGUCACAGAGAGAUUAUUCAGCAGUCUGCGACUUGCUGACUGAUCUGACCAGCCUGUCCGGAUAAACAGACAGAUAGACGGAUGCCUGUCUGCGCUUCCUCAGCCCUUUAUGACUUAGCCCGUCUCACUGUAAUUGAAAAACUAGCUCCACUGUGUUGUCUUGGGAUUUUUCUCUCUAUAAUGCAGCUUCAAAACAGGAAAACCAAUAGUGGGAAUAGACCCCCGAAUGUAAUUAAUUUUGUGGGGGCGGGGGGUAAAAAGGAGGGGUGGAUAGGGGGGGAACUAUUAUUGCAGGAGGAAGAAUUCUAAUCAGUUGCAGAUUCCUUCCUGUUUGGUUAGCGUGACCGUGGCCAAUUACCAGUGAACUCUGUGUUACAGUUUCACUUCCUGUGCUACCCAGAGAACGGACUGAGGCCGGCGCUGCAGAGCUCCGGCAGGACGGAGGGAGACGCAGGAGAGAGAGAAAGAGAGAGAGAGAAAAACGACAAAGCAAGACACAAGAAGAUGAGACUUAAGGAAAGUAAACAAAGCCCAGGAAGGGGGAAGAAAAAGCAGAAGAAGGGGAGGGUGAAAUCUCGAGCCAGAUCUAAGGUGCACAGACAUAAAGGCACAUACGUUCUUUAUCCGGCUAAUAUAGAACAUGACAUGUGGUUUACAGAGGAAAUGAAAGGAUUUUGGACCUGACUUCUUGCUGGUCGAGCUGUUUUCAGGUAAAGCCUCAAACUGUGGAGCAACAGACCAAAAACUCCAGAGACAAACGCAGCAGUCCAUAACUUAAUUGUUGUUGUGAUAUUAUCGAAAGACACAAUUUGGCGUCGCUGUUUUCCCUUAAAUUGAAUUAAACCAUCCAGUUAGACAGCUGAACGACAAAUGCUGGGGAAAAGCUGGAUUUGCAUAAAGUGUGUUUUUUUUCCAGCGUGUAGAUGUAACUCAAUCUGCUAUGGUACUUCCUGUGAAAUUCUCCAUGCUUAUUACAGCAGAUUCUGCAUUUGCUAAAGGCUUUCCAAAGCGGUAGUGUACAACACAACAUUAUAACAACAUGCUCAAAUCAUCUAUCAUGCUCUCUCUCUCUCACAGGUCUUGUUUUGGGGGGGGGGGGUGUUUUCUCAUUUCUGCAUAAAAUAAACACCAAGAAAACACAAGAAUCUGAUGAGACCGUCUCCUCGCUGCAAACAGACAUUAGCAUUUACAAUCAAUUACGAUUUGACCUGCCAAAAUAGUUCCCUUUGGCCUGACUCUGCUCCCUAAUUCUCUCCUCUCUCACUCUCUUUCUGCUCCUCCAGAGAGGUCUAUUCCCACACUUUCUGCCUCUAAUAAAUUUUUGGCAUAUUACUCUACUCAAUCUACCCAAGAGGUCUCCCAUAAUUCACUUUUGAUAUCAUUGUUUAGUUGUAGGAUUAGAGGGAGGGGUGCACACUGGGAGCAGACAGUCAGGAUUGGCAGUGGGACGUUAAUUCAUUCUCUUUAUUAUGAUCUGAUUGGCGCCUAUCAGUGCAACCGUGUUUCAGAUUGAGGUAAGGUGCAGGUGCAUAAAAAUUACAUAUAAUAUUUAGAUUUUUGGUUGUCUUAAUCUUAAUAUAUGUGUUUUUUUAUCAUGCAGACUGAAAGAGAGGUUAAACUGUUGACAGAGGGAAUAAUACUCGAGUGUCAAAGGUGUAAUAAAUUCCUUUUCCCUUGUAAAAUUGUGGAGAUCUGUUUUAAAUUACCAAACACAUGACAUGACAUAUAUUACCAUUUUCCAGUGCAGUUGCAAACAUCUCAGGGGGUGCAACACUUAAGCUCUACAAGUGGAAUAAACUGCUCAGAGGAUGUUCGAGGGAUGAUGCACACAACCGACAAUAUGAAUGUGAAUUCCCCAGGAAGCCUGUUUUGCACACCAAAACACACACAUGCGCGCACACACUGAACAACAUGAGAAAUGGGCAAAGUGCCACACUAUUCAGUGUGAAAUGGAGGGUCCAAGUCGCUAAACUAAUCCUGGUACCACCGGAUCAUCUUGUGCUGCAGCUGCCUGGAAUCAUCUCACAAACACAAGGUAUUCCUGGAAGAAUUGAUUCUGUUAGAUAGUGCAUUGAUCACACACAUCGCCUGCAGACACAAGAUGGCUUUACAAGCAAUAAGAUGGGAGACAAUUAUAUUAUUUUAGUCAAAUAAGACAGAGUACAAGCAGCGAGUGCCAAUAGUCGUGGCAGGAGGGAGGAGGGGGAGGCUCAGGCGGCCCCCUCUGCGGCUGCCUCCGUGUGUUUGUGCUCCAUCCUCAAGUGGCACGGUAAUCCACUAAACUUUCCUCCACCCGUUCCUCUCGAUGCAAUCAGGAUGCGAAGGCUCACCAGUGAUUGCGUUCAUUUGUAAAAGCAUCCAAGCCAAAAUUGAACCCCAAGGCUGAUAAACUAUAAAGAUGCUGAUCAGAUCGCGGCUAAGGAGUCCACACUGGAGGGCACAAGGUGUCAGGGCGGGAGCCAAAAGAGCAAUGACUCUGUACGCCUCACUCGGAGCAAGGCAGCCGCCCCGGAAUACAAACAAGAGCGGGGGAAACACAUAAAAGCGACAACAAACUGCAGCUGGAUUUUUCAUCCGCCUGCAUCGUUCAGAGAAAUCCGUUCAGAAGAUUAGCACUUUUUCAGAUGUUUGUUUCCACCUCGUUUUUUAUUGACUCUAUUUCCAAAGUGGGCGCAUCCAUUGUUCAAGCUUUAGGAAACGCGUCGUAUUUUAUUGAUGAGCGUUGUGUGAAUUUCAUAAUGCAUCUCAAGAAAAGUAGAAACCCAAAAGAGAUACUGUGUUGGGAAGCGAUAUGUUUUCAACCCUUUCAGAGGAAUAUUAGAAGCGAUUUAUCAGAACGGGAGCGAUACAUAACUCUGCAAAGUCCAUUUCACUUUAUUGCUGCACGCUCUCGUCGCUACACUUUCAGAGUUACUGCAACCUUUCCCAGUGUUUCACUUAUUUCUCACAGCUAUUGCGUUGUCUCACGCCAAAAGAACAGUGUCAUUACUUUAAACACACAUAUCAGCCGCUGCUAGAGCACAAAGAUUGAGAAAGAGAGAGAGAGAGAGAAAGAAAGAAAGAAAGAAAGACAGGAAUGGGAGGAUCUGAGGAUGUUUUUUCCUCUCCAUCCUCGUGGCCCCAGUGCGUGAAAUGUCAAAGAGCAGUCAGCGGGAGAGACUGAUUCCAGGAGGCGAUGUGAAUGGGACGAUUGAAGACCCGCUUUGAUUGACAGCUCUUCCUCUCCCGCUCUGCCCUGAGGGUGAUUGACAAUGUGGUUCAUCUCACAUUUUGUGACUGAGCUAAUCCAGUAAAUUCCUACCAGACGCAGCACAACUCAGCAGAGACCUGCCGCUCCUUUCCCAGGUGGAGUUUUUUAUUUUAUCUCUCUUUUCCAAAAAUAAAUAUGUUUUUCCAUCUGCGGCGUUGAAAACAAACCGGGGAGGGGUAUAAUUAAGUGAAAGUACAUAAUUAAGCGAGUUUAGAAAAGUGCUAGUUUUCUAUGAAUUAAAAUGUAGACUAAUUACAUGUGGGAAUUAGCCUGCUGUUGUGCUAGUGAUUAUUAUUGUCAUAGGUUACUGUCUCAAUAUGCUGCCAGUUGGAAAUGGGAUCACCUUACUGGAACGAUUGAUCUCGUGCCAAGUUCAAUAAUUAAUUGACUCAACAAUCACUGACACACAACUCUUGUACAUUCUCCCGUAUGCCCACGAGGUGCACCGCUCAUCCUCUCGACCUUGCACCUGUAUUUUCAUGUUUGCACGCUCCCUGAAAUCACUUCCUCCGCUCUGCAGCUGCUUUUCAAACUUACCAGACAGAAUUAACUCACAAGAACUUCUUCCAUGUCGCUCAGACACACCUUGAGAGCUGUGACCCACAUUACCGCUGCUGUCCAAUCAGAACGUGGAAUGAGGGAAAUGUUUGACAUUUCAUUAAUCAUCAUUGCUAAAUGAUCACGGUGAGGGUUUGCAUUUAGGAGUGAUUAAUUGCAGAGUGAGGCUUAUCAGGUUACAAAUUACCUGCAUAACCUUUUCAGGAGCUUAAUUUUAAACUCAAAUCAAAGUGUUGAAAUUCAGCGGAGUCAAUGAAAAUGAAGAGGAGGCGAUAACAAAGGUCAUUUUGGUUGAAAAGGGCACUUAUGAUUCUGUAGGAAAUCUCAUCAUAGUCAUCUUUAACUGCAAGCUUCUGUAUGUUUAUACUGACAAAAAACUUGACUGGUUUGAUAAUCAAUCCAGGACAUGAUAUGGAGACAUGAUUAAAAAAAGGGGAACCAAGUUCUUAUUCAGAGCUAUGGAGAGAGUAAAAGGGUAGGGGUUGACUGAUAUCACUUUUUUAAUACCGAUAAUGAGAGAGCAGGUCGGCCUAUAACACACUGUUUUGCACAAAGGAUUUUUUACUUUCUGAAAUAACUAAUAAAUAUGAAAAAAAGUAAAGAUUGGAGUUAAAAAUGAAAAAAAUAAAACUAUUAGCCUAUUCCAUGUAGAUUAAGCUCUGAUAAACAUGGUUAUCUUUGCUUCUGUAUGUUUAUAGUGACAAGAAACUUGACUCUGGUUUGAUAAUCGAUCCAGGAUAUAAUACGGAGAUAUGAUAAAAAAAAAAGGGAAUACCGAUAAUGCGAGAGCAGGUCGGCCAAUAACGCAUUGUUUUCCGCAAAUGAUUUUUGACUUUCUUAUGUAACUAAUAAAUAUGACAAAAAAGUAAAGAUUGGAGUUGAAAAAGAAAAAAAAAUAUUGUUAUACGUAGAUUUUAGAUGUUUUCUUUAAUGAAUUUAUUAAAAAGAGAAAUACAUUUUUGUAUCAUGCUGUUGAUCCCAGAACAUGGCUGAUAUUUCUGUAUAAAGCAAAAUUAAACUUCUUUAUUCAACACAUUAAAACAGGAUUUAUAUGAAACAUUAGCCAGUGAGUGUUUUAGAUCUGAUUUGCGAUCAUUCAGCACGUGGAAAUGUGUUUUUAUUUAGAAAAGAUAUCGGCCUUGUGAGGGCUGAUGCCGAUUUGAUGUUGAUUAUGUUGCGAUGCUAUUAAUCGGCCAAUCUAUCUCUAUAUUAAGGGUCAGUCUUGGCUGCCAUCUUUUACAUUUUCUGAAUAAUUCUCCUGAUAAACCAUAAUGUUAAAUCACUCAUUAUAUCUGUAAAAAUGCAAUUGGUACUUUAAGGGUUAAAGGUAACAAACACAAUCCUGACUUUUUACUGUUAUCACAUGUUACCUCUUGGUUUAAAAAACUUUUCAGAGAAGCUACAAAGAGACUAAAAUCUCACUUUUGUUGCUACGACCAAACUCAAACUUUCUACCUCUGUAUAAUUAAGCGUUGUAGUGUCAUGAACGGUUUUCUACCUUAGUGCGGUUCACAGCUGUGUUGUUUAAGCAGAGCAGAGAAGACAAUAGCCCAGUGUGCGCGGAUCAGCUGUGUUGGUUAUGUGCAGGAUGAAAGACUCACCAACCAGUUGUGACAAUGGCAAAGUGCGAUAAUAACCCGCUGAGAUGAUUUGAGAAAGACUUGUAAAAGCAUCGCACUUGUACGGGGUAUUGCACACUCCGAAUGGUAUGCGUUUGAAGUCAAAGAAACCAGAGGGUGUGGUGAACCCGGUCUCACUGAGUUGCACUGUCUGAGUGCUCUUCAGUGGAGAAUAAUGCUUCAUAAUAUCCUCCAGACUCUUUCACAGUUAUAUAAAUACAGCAUAUUCUUUGACUCCCUCUUCACACUCAGCACUCAUUAGGCACAAAUAUUUGGUUCUCAAACACACAAAUGAGGCCACAUAAUUGCUCGAUUUUAUGCACAAUUCAAAUUCAAAUCAUUCCUUCUUGACACAGCCAAUACAUCUGUCAUGCGGCUCCUCGUUUCUUUUUUUUUUUUUGAAUAAUUAAAAAAAGAAAUAGAGAAACAUACUAAUGAGAGAACCUUACUUGAGGGCUUUACUGCUCCACUGACGAUCAUAUUAAUGUAUUCCUGUGUGAAUUAAACGCAUCAUCAAACACCUAAGUUCCUUCCAUAUUUUCCUGUGAAGACGAGGGCUGGACACCGGUGUCUACCUUGCCCUCUGCAAAAAUGAAGGGCAUUCUUCAUUAUUACACCUCUUGUGAUUACUUGUUAAUAGCCAUGUGAUAAAGGCUCUUCCUUCAAAAUUGACUAAAACACUGGGAAUUUGGGCUUUUAUGAGAAUGACAUUGUUACGGUCAGUGAUUCAGUCAUUAAGGCGCGAUAAGAUGAAUUUAAAGUGAAAUUAAGAUUUAUUAGAUUUGACAUUUUUUGACUUUCUCUGCGAAUCUGUUCAGUGAUCUAAAAUCUCGCACACACCAGCCAUCAACAUCAGGAUUUCUUUGUGUCUUUCUCGUUCACCGGUUCCCCUUUCUCUGCCUGAAGCUCUGUCGACUGCCAGUGUAAUCUGUGCCUGACCUUUCUCCACCUCUUUAAACCUCGUCUGUUCCUCCCUCCCUUCAAUCCAUUCAUCCAUCCCUCUCCGUCUUCCCCUCCACUCUGCAGAUUGACAGUCAUCAGAGCUCCUUUCUCUCUGUGUCUGACAGCUUGAACUGGCUCAUUAAGGCAAAUUGGGAAUGGGAGACUAAACUGAGCAUGCAGAGUUAUUUUAGAGGCCGCUCUGUGACUGAGCAAACAUGCCAGCUCAUGCUCCAUAUAAUGGCUUGUCCGGGGUUGAAGAAAUAUGUUAGAUUUAAUUAUCAUAACAGAGCAUUAGUGCUAUGCUGCUGAAUGGGUGAAGUCUUGCAGCGUGUGUCAGAAGAGAUUAGAGAUAAUAAGUUGAUGAUUUUUAAUAUUUGGAAUAUGUAACGAGAGGAAAAUCAAGUUUUUAAAGUCUUAAACAGACGCUGAACUGCACUGCAGCACGGAAAGUUAAAAAAACAACAACAAAGCAUGCAGUAAAGGUGGGUCUGAAGUGUUGGUUUGAAUAUUUAGAAUAGAUUUGCCCAUAGCUGUUAGAGAGCAAAGCCGGCAAUAUGUGAUUGAUCACGUCCCACAGGGGCGACAGCCAGCACGCCAUUUAUACACAACAAACGGCGUUGGCUACACUAAACUAAGCUCACACAACCUAUGCAGAUAGCACACUCUUUCAUUUUCACAUGUGCAUGCUAAACCUGGCUGAUAAACGAUUUGCCUAGCAGCACUUCCGUCCAUAUUUUAUCACGGCAGACAAUGCUCGCUGGCGUUGCCAGACUUGGUGUAUAUCCAGUAUUUAGGCAAGAAAGCCUCUCCUCAACCCCUCAACAGCUUGGCUCCCAUAAUUAACUUACACAGGACGGAUGGGAGCCACAGUCGGAGGAAACAGGAAUAGAAUACAAUAAAUUAGAGCUGAAGAGGUUUAUUAAAGAAGAAUGUUUAAAUGAACACGGACACAACAGGCACACGUUUAACAGGCCUUUGGUUUGUCAUUUUUACACCUUAAUUAUUGUGGGGCAGGUGAGCUCAGUCAUGCAAGAAGUUAACUUUUGCUUUUAAGAGAUAUAGUUAGUUAGUUAGUUAGUUAGAUCAUUUCUUUAUUUGUUUAAGUGUCAUGCACACAAAGUGCCCAACCUACAUGGGUUUAUAAGACACUAAAUAAUAUCAACAGACAUUAUUUUAUAGUGUGUAAACUGUAAAAAAAAAAGAGGAAAAGGAAAAACACACAAGUAUACAUACAAUUAUAUCUACACCCGUAAGCUACAUAAACUCAAAUCAAAUGUACAUCACAUUUUCUUCAGGCCUUAUAAAUAAAGUUAGCUGUAUAAAAAACUUCUCGUAAUCAUCUAAGUAAAUAAAACUCACUGGAUAACAAACAAAUUUUCUUGCAAAAUAUACGUCUAAAUUUGUCAAAAAAAGGACAUAUAUUUUAUCAAGUAUAUGCAUGUAUACAACCACUGUUUCAACAACACCAAAAAGCAUGUAUCAUGAAUUACAAGCACACGUAUACGUUCCCACACUCUGACAGUCAGAUGACUGGUCCAUGACUUGUUAUACACACUCAUAACACACAUACGCAGACAUCAGAGCAUCCUCCUCAGUCUAACCUUAACCAGACAUAUCUCCCUCUACUCCCCAGCUACCUCUGUUUGGACAGAUCCUGUGCAUGUUUUUUGUUAAGAAAGGAUCAUUAAUAGCUAGAGUCCGACCUCUGACCAUCCCUUGAAACCAUUAGCCAGGCCGCUGAUGGUUUUGAUUUGGUGUCCCCGAAGGAGAUCUCUUAGGAGUUGCAGAGUUCUUGUCAUCAAGGAUGACGUGACACUUGUUGUAGAGCGAUCCAGUUGUGUUUACAGAAUCGAAAAUAUAAAAAUAGACAAUGAUCUUAAAAAACAAAUUGAUUCCUGGAAGAUAUCAUUUUUACCUAAUAUGAAAAAUGACAAAAAGAUGUUGGCCUAAAGUUGAGAUUUGGGCGCAUGUUUAAAGAAAAAAGUAAAUAAAAGUUAUUUUCUGCACACAGAGGCCUGCUUGCGUACAAGUGUCAGUGUGUUCACUUACAUGUGCAUCCAUUUGUGUUUGUGUAUUUCUAAAUGAGAUCGGAGGAUAGCUUCCAUUCAGUAACCUAUCACUUAAAUCUGGCUGCAGGGCACAAAGUCCAUUUGUCACGUCACGCUUUUGUUAUCUCACCGCUCUUCAGAGAAAACAAACAACAAAGCUCACAAAGGAGUCGGACAGAGAAAGCGCUGCCUCAUCCAAUGAGAGCUUUGCAUGAGAUAUGAUGUGAAGAGCUGAGAGGAGGAGAGGAGGAGGAGGGAGAUGUGUGAUUUAAUGUGUGCGUGUUUGAGUGUCACCGUGUCUACAGCAUGUGUUGCGAGUUCCUAAAAUGUGUGUGUGAGGUGUGUUAGAAGGAUACCCGCAGCCUCACCGUGCCGUCCUGUGCCUAAAUCAUGUGUACAAGCUGUUUCCAAUAAACUGUUAAAUUUGAUAAAGAGGUCUGGUAUUAUAUUACAGAGCCCACAGGGCACUCGGACCUCUGCUAUCAUGAAUACAUUUCGCCUGAUAAUAACGCGGUGACUUCAACCGCUGCCACAGGAAAAACUGCUGCCCUCCUGGAAAUCAAGUUGUGAGGCAGGGUGACACCUGUAUAAAUGGACAGGUGAUGAGAUUAUAAUAUAUUUAUGCUUUCUGGGUUAGUGUUAAGGGACUUCUACAAGUGAGCAUGAGUAGCACAGGGGACUGGAGGGCACGACUGGGAGUGCCAUGGGGGCAAAUCCUCUCACUUCACAGAGAGGGAUGAACCGCAGAGGUACACAGGGGCAUUUGGUUAGAAGACACUGCAUGUGAGAAAACAACAAUCAGUUGUUAUACAGCAAACAAACACAGCACAACAGCUUGAUUCAUAAUGUACCUACUCCUCAUUUAACCAUUUUAUAUUAGAGAUAAGAAUACUUGGUAUUAUAGAAUAUAUUAUAUCUAUAUAUUUUUUUCCUCUGACCAGUUACUGUUGAGUGUCCCCAAAACCAGACUCAAGUCUAGAGGUUACAGGGCUUUUUCAGCGGUUGCCCCUAGACUCUGGAACAGUUUAGAGCCUCACAGACCCUAAAGUCUUUUAAAUCAUCCUUUAAGACCCACAUUUUCUCCCUUGGAUUUAAUAAAUUCACACACACAGAUCGGCACUGUAGCUUUUAUUCUUUUACUGUCUGUAUUUUAUUCCACUGUUUUUAAUUUUAUUGUUUUAUUGUUAUCUAUCUAUUUAUUUACCUUUUUUACUUAUCCCUUGUACAACACGUUGUUUGACUGCUGUCUUCUUAAAUGUGCUUUAUAAAUAAACUUUGACUUGAUUUUUUAAUAACAAAGAUUUCACUAAUGAUUUUGAGUCCAGCAGAGUCACACAAUAAUAAUCAUACUUUAAUUUAAAUCUUUGUUUCUUGAACUCUCUUUUUAACAAACACUUCACAAAGACGUCUAAAAAAACUUUAAUUUUUAGACCAGUGGUAGCCCAAUUUUAGACCAGACAUCUAGGCUACAUUUAGACGUCUAUUAGACCUCUUUUUGACCUAAAAAUGCUCAGUGGGUAAUGUUGCAUAAAAUACACUUUUACGCAAUUUUAAGAGUGUCUGGGUCUUAGAGGAAUUCUGUUUCCUUUCACCAACCCACUCAUUAUACAGUAUCCGACUUGUUAAGAUGACACUAAGUACUGAUUUUAAGAUGAUUAAUUUCUUAAGUAUGCUUUGACUCUACUUAAUGGUUGAAUCGAUAUUAAAAUCAUAGUAAAAAGCACAGAUUUUGGAUCAAAACAGCGCAUUGAUACUUGGAAAACUUGACUUAUGGGUCAAGGUUCAACUUCUGAUCCACAAUUUUUGUGGCAUAAAAACAUCAGAUUUUACUUGAAAUGUGAAAAUUUGAAAUUUAACAUGUAAUAAUGUACAAAAUCAAACUUUCCAAAAUCAUCUCAUAUCUAUUAAAAUGCAAAUGCAGAUAUCAAACUUUAAAAACUACAUACAUAAGAAAACAGGUAGCUGCUAACCCAGCUAGCUUUACUCUGUUAGCACUGGUGUACUUGGUAUUCCCGGCUGCACCAGUCUGCCCCAUAUCUCUGGUCUCCACACAGUAUCUGGGUAGCUAAGAAGGUAGGCAGGUGAUGAAUGUUCAGUAAUUGUAAGAGUUCAGUGGUAAAAAGAUUCAAAUCCAUGACAGUGAGAAAUGGAAGAGAGCCCCGGGGGAAAUUUCAGGCUGUGGGGAAGUGCAUCCAACCUGUCUAAAUAACAGAUCACACCUCAACUUGGUCACUUGCUCAGAACAUGCUCUCUGAUAUUAGAAAUGUGCCUUUAUUGCAAAUGAGUGUGGGUGUGCACAGAUCGGUGCAGGAGCUUGUGUUCUUUUUACAAGUUUAAAGCAGCAUUAAAGAUAUGACACACAACAAAUCAUGUUUGACUCGUAGUAAGAUUUAAGAUGCGUCAAAUAAACGGUUAUAAAGUGUCCUCUAUUUGCAUAUUUAUGAGACAAAUGGACUGUUGAGGGGCUGCUCUGUGUUUUGGUUGUGGAUCCACGUUCCUGCAUGCAAAGAGACAGCGAGUGUUUUUAAUCUUCCUGUUGCAUGUCUGAGAUUAUUGCAUUAAAAUAAACAGAUCUAGUACACUUGUGCAUGAUAUCUGAGAGGUAUAAUCUUUUGGUUUUGGUCAGUAUUUUAUGAAAUGUUAUCCCUCGUUGAGAUGACCACACAGCGCAAACCUACAUACCAGUUGAUCAAGACUCUAGCCACGUUUACAUGGGCAAAAUUUCUUGAUCUGAUUAAAAAUUUGAGGGAUCGGAUAAUCUGAAUCCACUGUUUAUAUGGGUGCAAAAUCAAAUAAUCCAAUCAUGCCGUGCGUAUACAUGCACCAAGUUUUAUUCAGAUCAGAAGCAUUUUGACAUUUGCAGAGUUGUCUGAUCUUCCUAAAACAACCGAAGAAGAAGAAGAGUUGUAUUGACGCCUGUGCUGUCAACAAACCAACAAACGCGGCAGUGGCUCACUUCAGUAAAUUCAGGAGUUUUUGCCCUGUUAAGUGUAGUAACUAGAUGGCGCCCUUGUGUACUCAUUUUACUCUUCUCGCAAAGGUUGCACUGUGCGUGCAGAUGUGACAUCAUUACGUUGUACGCCUUGUUAUGUUAGCAGAGGAGCAGGCAUGAUACUUGUUUACUGGCCUCAAUAAAUAAACCAAAGGCUUAAGAGUGAAGAUAGAGUCAGGUAAGAGAGUCACGAUCGGAAAAAGUGUUUACAUGGACGCGUUUCAAAAUAACAAUCGGCAUAUACCACCGGUCUUGAUCGGAAUACAAUUUCUUUACGUUUAAGCCAAAUUGGAUCAGAAUCUUCCAAUCAACAUAAUUACAUAAUGCAUUUUUAUUCCGAUCAGGGAUUUAUUUUUUAUUACAUUUUUACAUUUAUUUUUAUUUAUUAUUAUUAGUUCAAAUCUUAAACCUUUGUUCCCUUUUGUAUCUAAUGUAUCAAACAAGAUCAAUAAAUAUUUUUGUUAAAUUUUAAGGACAUUUUUAUGUUUUUGGUUUUCAGUAAUAAGUGAAAUAAACAUUUCAGCUCCAAAAAAUUUUGAAUUUUCUGGACAUAAUUUGUGGUUUCAGGCAUUAAAGGGUUAAAUCUGCACCUUGUUUGGAUGUUCAGUUUUAAACUCCGUCCCAUCAGGCUUUAGACAAACACUCUGCUCAUUAUGGGAGUGAAUGUUCGAUCUGGCCUGCAUGCCUCUGACUAGAGAGUUUUCUGAUUCACUCUUAAAAGUCUAAAUUGAAAGCAGCAAAGAAAGGGCUUUGUUUGGCAAGACGCUCAGAGCAUGACUCAGAUUAGUUUUUAUGAGUGAUUAUUACAAAUCUGUGAUGAUUAUCGAGGAUUUUUAAGAUGUUGCAUGUGUGAUUUUAUUAAGUGCACACAUGUGUAAGUAUAUGUGUACUUUCCUUUGCAGCUCCUGUAAUAAUCUGACUAUCAUUAUUUUAAUCCAUCCUCUGUCUGACACACAACACUUACCCAGUCAUGAAGCUCGACAUGUCUCAUCCCAUCCAAAACAGUGUCAAGGAGAGUUUUGAAGCAAAUAAUCUGACAGCAGCGCACACAUAUUAAUUACAGCAGCUUCUCCACCCAAUCAGGAGCCGGUAAGCAGAAAACCAGCCAUUAAAUUCAGCCCUUUUAUUAAACUGGCAGCGCUCUCUUCCUCUGCUUGGAUAUCAUCUUAAUCAAGAAUGGACAAAAGGAGAAAGACGCUUAUUUUAUCAACAAGUUGCUGCAAUCGCUUUUACAGCUUUUCUGUGUCUUAUUUAAUGAGUUUUCACAGAUGUUGUGUGUUACUAAAGAUAUCCUGACAAUGAAAAAUGAAGCCUGAUGAUAAAUUCAUUCUGUGGGUUCGGAUCUUCCAACAAACUUUUAUAACUUCAUCAUCAAGGAUGCCGCCUUGGUUACAGUAACGGUGCAUAAAUCAUCAAGGGUGCUUAAACAGAGCGCUGCCUGCGGGUAUUUCCCAAAGCGAGAGGAUAAAACUUUUUACUAAUAAUACAGGAAGACUUCAUCACACAGUCGCAGAGAAAACUGCAUCAGACACCGAAUGACAGGAGGGAGAAGUUUGAUGCUAAAGGGUGAUCGCCGUUGUCAAUAAAGAGCCGCACGUGUAGACUUGAUCUGCAGACAGGACGCAAUUGGAGAGACAGCACCAAGACAAAAACCAACACACCUACUGUACGUCGCCUCCAGCUGUUGUCUGAGUACAACAAGUUUGUAAUAAACUAACAAUCUAAGUUUAACUCGGUGGUCAGGCGGUCAAAACAGAGUAAAAGAAAACAGGAGAGGUCGUCUGCCUCUCUGGAAGGAGGGCUCAUAAAGAGCCAAACUCAGCAAACAAAAACAAAUGAGCACCCUGUCCACUUCCUCCUAAGUUAAGCUGUAGAAAUACAGACCGGACAACUGGUAUUAGGAGGACAAUCAUCGGGCUCUCACAUUAUUAAUGACAUAAUUACUGCGUGGAGACAGAAGGAGGGGGAGAGGAAGAGAGAAAAAAGACAGAAAGUGGUGAGUGUAAAGGAGGAACAAAGAAAAAAAGGCAAAAUCAGACAAAAAGGGAGGGAGUUAGAGGAGAAAAGAUGGACUGACGUCUCCUUUGGGGUCUUGUGAAGAGGACGUUUCACGUUAUUUUGGGUGUCUGGACCCUCCCUCGUUGUUAAUUGGAGUCCUCGGUUGUAUCCCACCAUCCUGUACACUGUUGGCGCCCCCCAAGGUGCAGGGAAUUACCGUGUCUGUCUCCCCUCCGCUAUAUUUAGGCCAUUUAAGGUUGCUUGGUUUUAAAAGGGAAAGUCAAAAGAUGCCAUUCUUCAUGAAUGUCUGAGGAUAUGAAUAGGGUCGCCGCUUCUCUUCCCUCUGUCCCCUCAGGAGUUCACCUUUUCAAAUAUAACGAAUGCCUCAAUUAAAAUCCCUUUCAAACACCAUGCUUAUUUUUCGAUAACAAUCGUGCGUCGCUCCCCUUUGGUUCCCCCCUUCUCUCUCCCUCUCUCUGUGAAGGCACAUGGAGGGCAGAUGAUGCUCCUGAGUAAAGAGAAACAGAGAGACAAAGGCAAAUGUAGAAAUGCAGAGAAAGGGGAAACAGUAAGGCGACGAGAGAUGGAUAAAAAUAGGAGGAAAGAGGAAGGAGAGAUGAGUGUGUGUGUGGGAGAAGGAGAAAGAGAGGUGUAGAUGUGAUGUUGGAUGAACGCAGGGUCUGGGAUGAUGUGAGCCAGCAGAUGGCAGGGUAAGAACAGUAAUAUGGCCGGUUCCACUCUGGCUCUCUGUAGCCAAACAGCAGGUCAGCAGGGAGUCCUCAGUGCUGCACACACAGACACAUGCAUAACAGAAGCAACGCACACAGGUAAAUUCAUUAAAAAAACCACAUGCGCUCGAAGAUGUUCACUUUUUCUUUUAUGCAAACCAGACAGGAUGCACACUCAAAGUUUCGCAUCGACUUUUCGCUUAUUUCUUUUUUUUUUUCAGUCAUAGAUUUGACAAACAUCCGUCAAACGUGCCCCAUUGUCAAAGGUCGUGGGUGGCGUGCCUCAUGCAAGUUAAAGCCCUAAUGGUUACAAGACAGUUUGUCGCCAUUUGGAGGCUCACAGGGAAAUGAAACUAAUGCAGAAUAAUGCAUUCUCAGGUUGUCAUUAGCAUUAGGAAUAGUGAAAAGCAUUCAGGCUCCGUGGAAGAUGGCUGGCUUUAAUAAAAGACCACUUAAAGACAGCAAACAACAGCAAACAAGUAAAUCUAAAAAAGCUGGGCUCGGCUCGCUCGCUUAAGACCCGUGGACAUUAUCAGCAUCUGAACUGUAUGGUGGAGGAGAUUAACUGGCUGGUGUUGUUUAGCUUAGCUCCAUGUUGGCUGCGUUCGAUUGAGCCGGAGGGAGGAAACCAAAGACAGACUUUUUCCAUUCAGUAAUAUUGACUAAUUAAUAAUUAUGUCAAGUCCUCAUUUCCAGUUUUUCGGUAACAUGCUGCUUUGUGGCCUCGAAUGCAACCUGUUUUCUCUUUCGAAAGGAAGCUCUGUUUACUGCGUCUCCAAAACGUGCCUCGCUGCAUGUAAAUCCACACGGCUAAAUUAGACUCGGGUAAAUGAUGGUUUUACAUGUUGCAGAGGGUACGAGCGGAGCACAGAGGGUAUAAAAGCGGAUCAGGCGCUGUUAGAGGCUAACAAGCGGGCUUGUUGUGGAGUUGAGUGUGGUUUUCAUGCAGAGCUCCAGCUGUUUGGCAUAGAAGAGGCUCAAAGCAAAGAAGCAAUAUAUUUGAACAUCCUUUCUCUCUCUCUCUCUUUCUCUUUCUCUCUCUGUCUAUACAUGUGUGCAUCUCUCGCCCCCGUUAUCUAUUUGCGCUCGUCUCUCCCUCUUUCUCAUUGCAAGUCUAAACCAAUAACGUAUGAUAUCUUUAUCUUAGGAGUCACGGUAAUAUCAUAUAGCACACAGACAUCCCCACUUGCCUUUUGGGCUUUUCUUCCUCUGACUCUGUGCGGAUAGUCAUCGUCAGGAGCGUCUCUUGACGAUUCCCAAAAUGCGACGUAAUGGUUUGUUUAUGAUUAUUUUCUGUAGGAUUUGUCUCCAUCUCUUCUGACUGAUGUUUAGAGAGGAGUACACGGCAAAUUGGAUGGCGAAAUCCCCGGCGAUUGUGUCCCUAACACAUCCGGGACACCACCGGCAAAUAAAUCUCCCCGACUCCAAUAAAAUAUGUUAUUUCUUCACUAUGAAUCAUACAACAUGGCCGGCUCUCGUCUCUGACCAUACCGUGUUGGCUGCAGGCUCUGAGAUCUUUCACAGAGAAUUAGAAGAUAUAUAGAGGAAGACAGUGGUUGUUAAACUCUGUCGGGGAGUGUACGUUCCCACAGUUUCUCAAGAGCAGAAAUGAUUUUGCAAAUUGAUUCGGAAGCCUAGCUGGUGCAUUAUGCUGCUGUUAUUAUAUUUGACCCAUAUUGUUUUUAUUCCCUCUUGGGUUGCAGCAGUUUAAGGAAGCCUUGUGUUUUUAUUUUACAGGCCUUCAAAACCAUUUCGCUCCACAUUUGUUUUUGGUUGGAAUUUAAUUGCACCAUUUUGUUCUGAAGCCACCCUCCAUGUGGGAUAUGAUGUGUUCAAAUUGUUGACAAAAUAUACAAGCAUGUUAAAGCCUACUGUGUUUAUUCCUCUCGUCUUCACCCCCUCUUAAUAGUUCAAAUUUCCUCCUCUUACCCAUCUGGCCUAAUAUUAUCCUCUUAAACCCAAACAGCAGUUUACUCCUCACCUUGUUGGGUCACAAUGCAGCAGGCAUGUCGAGGCAGACCUCUAUUUAAAGAUGGUGCAAAUGUUUGGGUGGCUCAACCCUUUCAAAUUAAAUGGAAGACAUCCCAGGGAGGCCUAUCAAAAAUGAUUAAAAAGGGUGGAAGACAGCGUGUGUGUGAAGUGUCAAGACGAGUCGACACAGGCUAGCCGACCUGCACCGAGAGCCAGGAAGCUUAUUAGCAUUUCAGCGCAUAGCAACCUGCCUAGCCUGGAGCACUGAUCUUAACACGGUCUGUCCAAAACCACACCGCUCUCUCUCUCUCUCUCUCUCUCUUCCUGCAUGUGCAAAAACAUUUAUGUCAAGUUGGUGGUUCACUCAAGCCGGGGAAUGUCUCUGCAUUAACGUCAAACCGGAGCUGCAUCCUGACAAAAAGUGUUUGUAUACGAUCCUCUUGACAAGUUUGAUGCCUUCCAAACACAGCGUGAGGAAAAGCAGAGGAGAAGAAACUAAGUUCUCAGUUAUCAGAUCAGGAUGUCGAAAUAUAUCAUAGCUGCGGUUUCAAACUUUCUGGGGUGGAAAUCGUAUAUGACUCAGUCUCAUUAAAGAAGCCAGAUUCCUGUCAUGUUUGGACCCAGCAGAAAUGUUAGUUUUUCACCGUGGUAACGGUGUAUUUCUCUGCUUUAAGGAGCCAGUUAUUUUCUCAGGCAAAUUUCAAGUGCCAUCUCCAACUUUUACCAAAGUUUAGACAUUCAUUUAAGUGACAUUUUAACUUGGAAGGAUCUGUCAGAAGCAUAAAGUAUGUUUAAGUUUCAGUUUGAUCAAAUACUGCAAGAGUCAGGUGCUGCGGGCUAAAACCCACUAUCUGGACAAAAAGUGGCGCUCUCUUUCAUUUUUAAUCUCUGUCAUUCCUUUUUCUCAUCUCUCCGUCUUUGUCUGAGUCUGUAUUGACUUCAGAGGGAAAAAAAACCUUCAUUGCCAGACAUUUUUCAGACCGAGGAAGUUGAGUUUAAGUAAUUAUAGGUUCUCACUGGAGCAAGUUUUUCAAAAAGAAAAUUAAGAGCCACUAUUAUUGUGAUUAAAUACAGCAAAACAAUAUUUUUCUGGUUAAAUGUCAAGAAUUUUAUCAAGAAUGUGACAAUUUUUGUGUCAUUUUUUUUGGAUAGAAUAGGAUUCAUAACCCAGAAUAUCAGCAAUACGCCUCAGAAGCAUCAGCUAUGAGAGAAACUUUCUGUGCCGAAGCUUCAAAGGUUUCUGCGUCGAGUUUCUCCCCCUCUUUUUUCACCCAACAAGAUGUAAGAGCAUCACAACUGGACCACGACCCUUAAUCAGUCACUGCUGCGCCGUGUUUCGAUAUCAACCAUUUCAUAUGACUUUAUUGACUCAGAGUUUUUAUGCUCUUCUUCAUCCUGACAGUAUAAAGAAUGGGCUGACGGCACUCGUCCAAGAUUGGAGGCCAUUUUGCUGCUGAGCUCUGUGCUCAACAAUGUGACUAAUGGGAAGCCCUGGAGGACUUUAGGAGGUAUCACUCAAAAACAAAGUUUGAAGUAGUGAGAAAGAGGAGGGGAGUUGUGUUUACAGAUGCACUUUGGCAACAAAUAUUUUCAGAUUUUAAAGAUUCAACUUUUGGUUUGUAUAAAAGUCCGACUAAUUAAUCUGUCAUGAUGUGCGCUCUCAUACGGCGGGUUUCCUUAGUCCCUAGACUCACUCGUCUCACUGAAGCGACCUUGGGAUUGGGGGGAGCCUGCAUGCCUACCUUAUAGCUCCCAGCCUUCCGCGAGCCCCCACAGAGCGUCUCAUCAUCUCAAAUUAAAGAUAAGGUCUGCCUACUCUGUGUACGCUAGCUACCCUACCUUUGGCAUGUGGUCGUUGCUAAUUACUUUGAGCUGUUAAGGGAGACAUAUCUGGGGAGACAGGCAGGAGGGAGAGACCUACAAACCCAGUUUAAAAGAAGAAUCUGAUUUUCCUAUUGCUCCCGAUGGCUUUGUUUGACCUGUUGGAUUUUGCAUUGUUCUCUCAUGGUUGGGUUUUACCUUCGUUUUUUUUCCAAAGUCAAAUCCUGUAGCUUGCAAACUGUGUUUCCAAUCGUGCCUCGAAUAUUGCAUCAUGGGUAAACAAAUGAGGAUGAAAAUAUGUAUGAAGAGUCUUGUAAAUGUGUUUGUGUAUGUGUGUACAUGUGGCAGGUAGGUCUUUAUAGAGGUUGCUAAAGUCUUAGUCCCUCUUGUGAUCUGGCUCUGGUGUUAGUAAGCGGCCUGGGAAAAGUCAGCUGUCGUAUAUACAUGUAAUUUUCUGUAAAACAAUAUCCGUGGUUAAAUUUGCUCUGGGUUAUACAUUAUUGAAGAAGGAUGGAAAAGAAUAAAUGGCAAAAGCGAUCAUUAGAGAAAACAAAACAAAAGUGGCGUUAAUCAAUUUGAAACAGUAAAUUAGCCAGUAUAAAUCAUCGCCGGGGCUGCAGCGUGCCGUGGCGGCAGCGGUGGUGGUGGUGACGGUGGUGUCAGGGAUCUGGUUUAGCGUGCUUGCUGCCUGGUAAACUGCUCCAUUUAACUCCCCUCCAUCUCCCACUGGCUCAUUGCUAAAUAAGGAUAUCAAUUAGGCUAAAGCACUCAGCAAAGGCUCCCAAGUUAACCAUCAGCCGAGGCAUGAAUGGAUCUUUGGGGAUAUUGACUGCUGCGGCAAUAGGUUUGUAAGUGGGCUGACCAAGGGGUAAUUAAAGCAGCGUUAUCAUGUUAUACAGUUUAUGGUGCUUCUGCCGCUCCUGCUUUGCUGUCGAUUCAAGGAAAGCAAAUGAAAGUUAUUUUUAUGUUUGAUCUAAAUCUGGUUUAAGAUCUGGAGUCUAUUUGUGGGUUUUAGUCCAGGUUGAGAUACAAUCAUUUUCAGACAGUAGCUGGUUCUUUCUCUGUGAGUCUGUGAGUAAUGUCUUUACAUGAUGUGGAGGAAAUCAAAAGGAGCAAGCUCAAGCCUGCCCGCUAUACGAGGUGGCCUUGAUGUAUGUGCAAUUACAGCAUAAUUACAGAGAUAAUUACUGUAUGGGCAAGAUUAAUAACUUUAUUAGCUAAAAUGGUUCACUUUUAAAAGAGGGAAAUGCAUACGUUGGUCUAGCAGAUCUAAAUUUGUUGAAAGUCAAUUAACAGGCUGAUUUUGUGUCUCAUUACUCACGUGUUUCACCUUGGAAAGGCACCUUGAGGAGCUAAAUUUAAAAUGUAAAAAAGGUCAGGAAGUCCCUCGUACAAUUAAUCCAGGAGUUUCUAAAGAAUUCCAUCAUCAUCGCGCAAAUGAAAGAGUGUCUAUUUUAACCGAUCGAACCAGAAAAACCCGCAGAAUUCAAUCCUGUCAGCCUCCUCAACACAUCUCAAUUAGCAGAGGGGGAGAGUUAACUACAGUCCGCGCAGUUUUCUCUGGACUUUGUGAGUUUAAAUUGGUAUUCGCCAUUGUUUUGACAGCAGAUCAUGUUCAGUGCGCCUGUGUUUGACUGGGCAACACUGGGCCCUUAAGCUCCUUUGAAACAAUAAUAACUUCUCCUCUUUAAUUUAGCCAACCUAGCCACAUUGCACCGUUGACAGGGCUAGAUUUGUCUUAUCAAGACCUAUUAACCAUUUCCAUUUUCUUAUUAAAUGCAUGCCGCAUAAUUUGUGAUUUUUUCAAACGUGAUGUAAUUAUGAUGUAUCAUUUCCCUCAAAUAAAGGCCCUGUCCUCUCUUGGUGUUAAUUUGAGCGUGUGAACUUUAUACUUUGAACUAAUUGGUUGCUGUCGAAAUCCCCUGAAUGUGAGUAAUUCGAUCAGGUAUUCCAUAACCAUUGUACAAUUUAAUUUGAGUAAUUUAAUUGGAUUUGACUGCUCAUUUCUGGGCCACUCUCCACUCAGUAUUCAAGAACUGCAGAGCUGCGGAGGUAUCCCGAGGCAAACACACACACCGGCUGCCACCAGCCUCUCUCACCAACAGAGCGCAGAACCUCCAACUACAGAGCACAGCUGGAUCAGACCAUGGAUACCUUGAUAACUCAUAUUAUAAAUUCAAUGUGCUUGACUUUAAGGAUAAAGCAUCAAACUGUAAGCUUUAAACCUCAGAUUCAAGAUGAUGAUCGCUCCCAACAAGAAUAUAAUAGGUUGUAUUUUUCUUUAUUUUACACAAGAGCAAUGGGAUUACUCUUCAUAAACUGCAUUAACACAGGCGAUGCCAUCUACUUCUACCGCUCCUCGGACCAAUUGAGCUUGUACCCCGCAUGAAAUGUCAUUCACGCUGCACUGCGGAGGACUUUAUCUGUCCUUAGAGGGUCAGCCAUCUUGUCUUAGUGGUCGCAGAGGCCUGGAGACUCGGAGGCGGCGGAGAGCGAACGAAGUGGAGACAGGCUCCCCUGCCACCCUGAUGUGCUGGGAAAACAGUGCAAGGAGCAUGCUGAGAGACAGAAAGGGAGCGGAUGAAAAAGAGAGAGAGAGAAGAGAGAUGGCGGGAGAGAGAUGCCCAUGGGCGAGACUGGCGCUGUCUUGCUCGGGCCCUCCUUCUAGUGCCAGAGACAGGGAGGACGCUGCCACUCUGCAUCAGCCUUAUGUAGUAUUCAUAGCAGCAGGUCCUUCUAACACAAUUUGUGACCUCCACCCCAGCUGAAGAAUAUUGGAGUUUAACAAUGGGCCGCUCUGUAGGGAGCGAGCACGCCGAGACCCCGGCGAGCAACUUCCUCGUCUAUUAUUUCUCUUUUUAUAUAUUGUGUCGAAUGUGUCUUUUCUGGGAAUUCCACAAUAAAAUGACUGUUAUUUAUCAUUACCAGCCUCUUUAUCAUUUAGUCAAUAAAAGGCCCCUCACUUUCUCUCUCUCCUUCCCUCCAUCGCAGUCUGGGAGUCAGAUAUCUGUAUUAGUCCCCCCCUGCCUCGGGGCAAGCCGUGUCAAAAGCUAAAUCAUGAUCAGCUAUGGCUUUCUGGCUAAAUUGUGUAUGAAGGCCCCAGGCAGAAAAGGUGCACAUGCUCAUUAUUGGAGACACAGAGAGAAAGAGAGUGAAGUUUGCACACACGCACUAAAUAACGUGCACACAUAGACACGCAAACAAAACGAGGAUAAACUGCAACACGUAUGCUGAGAGUACAUGGGUCAGGAGGACCUGUGGAAAUAGUUUCACUGAUAACAUGAAUCAACCCAAUGUCUGAUUUUCUGGCAUGCAGAUCACCAGAGAGCAAAUUUUAUGCCAUGUUACACUGUUUUUUUUGUGCUCCCGUGAAAAUUGGAGUAAUAACUUUGUUAGAAUAAUAGACGCACAAGCUGAUGUAACCUACAAACCUUUUACUGCCAAGAAGUAUCAGAGAAAGAGCCUGAAAACACACGUGUUUCAUUCUACAUUGUAGAAACCAUGACAUUUCCAGUUUGAUACCAAAGACACUGACUUACAACAAGCGUGGUAAUAUUAUAUAUUAUAUUUUAUAUUACAGUGAUCUGAUGUUUUGACUCAGAUUUGGGAAAGUUGUGUGAAGAAAGUUACUUAUAGGAAUUAUUCGACUCACAGUCCAAUGCAGGGAAUAAAGUUUUGAUAGUAUUACAUGAGAAUUAUGCCAGAGUCAUACUUUAUCUGAUAAGCCUGGUUAUACCCUGAACUGGAAGGGAUAGUGUUUCAGGUCCUUUCAGCCUUGAUAAUGAAGUCCAAUAUCCAAUUAAGUGAAUUGAUAAGGCUUCUUUUGCAACAAUACAUGAAUACAGUAUAUUGAAUUAGUCACAAAAUGCAAUCCAUGUAUUAGCGUACAUGAUCACACGUUUUAAUUGCAUGUUUAAUGGAAAUGUAUGUUGUGAAGCACCACCAGAGUCAAAGAUGAAAUUCUAAGUCUCCAUGGUUCAAGUCUGACACACUAAAGAAGAAUCAAGUCUGAACUUGAUAUCUUGAACCUGCUGGUUGCGUUGCUUAUGUUGUGCUAACAUCUCCAUUAGCUUGAUAAUGGUGACAUAAUCAACCGACCAAGGAGACAAACUAUGUGGAUCCUGGACAGAUAUCUGUUCAAGUUUGAGGUUAUCUUACCUUAAGUUUUUUGCACAGCUCCUGUUUGUGCUCACUAUGUAACAUCUUUGAAAACGAUGUGUUCAUGGCACCAUUUUAGCCCCCCUGCAGUUGCGAACAAAAGGCGAAGUGAAAAUACGUGUGGGGUAACAUGUGCCAGCCAUGGAAAAUGAGUAAAAUGUCAGGGUUGUAAAACCAAAAUGUUUUAAAAAAGGAAUAAGUCUGAGCCCUCAUUAUUGCAUCCUCUGAAAAACUAAAGUUCAAGCCAAGUCACAAGUCCUGAGGAUUAGUCAGAGUCCUGGAUUACAUCAUGAUAAACGUAAGAGAAAGAAGAAGAUGGAUAAUGAGGCCAAUCAUGAAACUUUAAACAUUUAUGAAACCUGAAUUCAUCCUAAACUGAUUUUUUUUGUGUCCUCAGACUAUUGCAUGUGUACAAUAUUUGUUUAGGUUUAGGCAUCAAACUUCUGAAUGAACUUUUAGAGAUCACCUUUGAUUAAGACAACAGAAGUCUACUGAGAAAGAGUUUUCUGAGGACUUCAAUGGAAGCAAACUUUUCCCAAUGUUAUGUCACUUAAUGAUAACAGGCAAAAACAAAGAAAAAAGGGGAUAAAUUCAUGUAAAUGGACAUUAAAGCCAUGAGACUAAAAUAUUGUUUAAAAAAUAACAAACAAAAAAACAAGGAAUUCUUGUUCCAGUUGUUUUUCGUUCUUUUCUUUCUUUCUUUCUGGGCUACUGAAAUAUUUAUUUCUAUCGUAAGUAUGACAAAAUUGGGACUGACCCACUUUUGGAGUCAGUGGCCUUUGAAAGGACUGUAUUUGUCUCUCUUACUUUGUGUCUUUCUCCUUGAGCUUUUCACACAAUUCUCACACACACAUACCGUACACACACACACACGCACACACAAACAUACACAUAUAAAGGUAUAAAGUUUCAAAAUUCAUUAACAUGGUUGAACCAGAAGCUGCUUGAUACACAGUGGGAAACAUUUGCCAUGAUUCCUACUGUACAUUAAAAAAACCCUACAAUGGAAAACAGGACUGAGGUCCCCCUUUAGGACAUUAUCACCUUGACCAGUCCUCUGGAGGGACCUCCUCUCCCCUGUGGGCUAGCACUUCCUGCUAGCGCUAAUUAAUUAAGGGGGCAGGUUGGCCACAGUGGAGAGUCGGCCCUGAGCCUUUUCAUCUAACAGACAGGAUGCCUAGAGACUUAUCGCCUCCUCUCCCAAUAAUGCCACUGCACAGACCAGUGGAGAAGUCAGUGGAGAUUUAGGGACAGGUAUGCCACAGAUGAAAACUCCACUGUGAAGCUUUUGCUUUAAGACUUCUUUUAAUCUCCGGUGAGCUUGCUGUAAGUGUCUGUCUGCUAAGUAUGUUGUAAAUUGAUUUUAAAGAUAGCCAUCACACUUGCCUCUGUAUAAUUAACUCAUAUACUAAACCUCCUGUAACCUAUGACUACUAUAAACUAUAUUCUUAUAUUUCCAUACACUACUUCACACUAGUGCAGAGGACCACAUCAGAACAUCCGCACAUGGUUCUUGUUCGCAAAAGAAAAAAAAAAGUGUCAGUGGGAAAUAGAGCUGGGAAGCAAGUGGGGGAAAUAAUACGACCACAUUUAAUGAAAGGUUAAAUUUUCAUUUACUCACUAUUGACUGAGCUGAAAGGGCCAUUAUUUAUUGUAUUGGCAUGAUGUGGCCCAUUAGUGCUGUAUUGGAAUUGGUUUGGCUUCUUUUCCCUCCCUUUUUUCACUGACUCUGUUGUUCAGCACUGUAGGAUCGCUCCAAGCUAAAAUGUGAGAAAAGACCUGUUUGUGUGGCGUGUGUGUGUAUGUGUGUGUGUGUGUAAGCAUGUGCCCGUUUUCACAUAUGUGCACACAGGAUAGAGGCGCAGACACGUAUAGGGCCGUGCACAACUCCUCAAACUUUCCCUGCUGAAUUCCUUUUGUUCGUUUAUCCAUCUUCUGCAUCUUCACAUAUUGCACAGUGAUUCGGCCAUCGAUCUGUUGUUCCCACGAUCCCACUGACACAUCAAUGACAAUCUAAUUCCAUUCAACGGAUUUUAUCGGCCACCGUCUCCGCAAAGUGACAAGACACAUUGCGGCCGUGCGUAAUCUAAUAAAACGUUGCCCUGCUCAAUCCAGAUUAAGUCACGAGACACCGGGGCUCCAGAAACACACAGCACAUUCAUUUAGAGGAGCUUUCUAAUUGGGGUUGGUGGUAGAGAGGCAGAAGGUGCGAAUGUUGCUCCGUUUUAACUCAGAGAAACCCUCUCUAAUAUGAUUAACUCAUUUGUUUAUUAGCAUCCUGGUGUACACAAGACCUUAUUGCAAUAAUGAGGCAACAUCUACAUAAUUCCACACUUAACCGAAAGGCCCCGAGGCCCAACUUAACACAAACAUUCAAACACAAGAUCAGGUCAAGAGCUUUGAGGUUUCAAAGACUAAUGUAGGCUGGGGAUUGUUGCUUGAAAACCGAACAUUAAAGUGUGAUUGCAACAACUCUUCUGCGUGUUAGGAGGCCAAACUGCUCCAAAGUCCUGCUUUUAUUGUUGAUAUUUAAUUUUAAAAUGAAAACAGCAGGAAGUUUCUCACUUUGAUGUUUUUUUUAAAAGAGGUGAAGUGCAUGAGCAAUUUCUUUUUGGCUCUUUUUAUGCACUUGUGUCACAGAUUUGUCCUUUUAACUAAGAUUUUGGUGUUCGUUGUUACAGUGCCAAUUCAUAACACAUUAUAUACUUUCUUUUAACAGGCAGAGCCCACAAACAAAACCAAACUUGGUGCUUGGAAAGAGUUUGCUUUCUUUUUUUUUUUUACGUUUCUUUGUCUGACGAGGUUUUGUUUACUCCCUGGUUUCCUAGCAACACAUCCAUGUUGUUCAGCCACAAAGGGCAUGUGCAGAACGCUUUGGCCAGUUCUAGUUUGAUACAGAUAUACAUGUAAGAGAAAAAUUGAUCCUUAACCACAUCAUAUGUUUGUCUGACUAUGUGGAGUUUGAUUUCAGUGCGAUUUCAGUCGGACUAUCAUGUUUACAUGCAUUUAUAAAGUCCAGUUUCAGUUUGACUAUAGCAACAAAUCCAUUUUGUAAGUGCAUGUAAAUGUACUGGCCAUUUUGGCCCAGCUGUACAGUAGUUUUCAUGACUUUUUAGAGUUGUUUUAUGUCAGACAAUUGAAAUAAAUUCAACUAGAAAUAUUGAAAUGCAGUUUAGGGUGUCUUGAGCUCAUUGUUUGCUUCUUGGUUUUUAAAAUCAGGUACAAUCUCGCUUACUGUGACUAUUCUGGCAUGAUCCUGACCUUGGCCUUGAAGAUCUGACCCUCUCCGUCUUAAUUUUCUUGGGUUUUUAUCCCAGAAAACUCUGACAAGGGGCGCCAGAUGGCUGGGGCUUUUUAAACAGACUGGCAUGGCUAGACUGACUUCUCAGACCCCCAACACACACUCUCAUUUAGGUACGAACACACAUUCGGAGCAGUGUCACUGAGGUUAGUGUGCUAAGAAUGGUAAUGCCACUGUGAGUGCCAUCUGGCAAAGUGGGGUCAAGGUGACACCUCCAGGAGCUGCGACCUGAACCAACUGAGCUCAUUCGCCCGUCGUUUGGGUUGUGUGUAGCUUGGGUGAGAUAAAGUCUCCAUGUAUGCUCUCUAGAUUUUGCAGAUUGUUUGUUUUUGCAUAGUCUUGCUGUAAAAUGAUUUAGGAUACUCAUUUGCUUUGCAUUGUACCCCAGUACUGUACACAUGCAGUCACCUUAAACACACAUACCUGCAUGCUCUUCAAAUCUUACGACUCCAUCAUUUCCCCUUGACACGCUUCUUUCCCCCUGUUUCCUAAACUCUACAUAAACAGUGUGGGGCUUUACGGCCUUGUUUUCUGUCUGUCGGCGCGCUGUGCCAGCAUCCGACACCAGCUCCCCGCCACUUUCACAGGCUGUAAACAUCUGAGCAAGGCCUUUCAUCUGGUCAAUGUGGCAAGGGGACCCAGGGGCUCUGGAUUAGCGCCACGAUAAAAACAGGCUCCCGCACUUGGUUUAGCAAGCUGCAAGCUCACGACUGUGACAUGCUGCGUUUAAAAAAAAAAAAAAAAAAAAGAGGAAAGAAAAAAAAGGUUUACAGGCCAACACCACAAAUUAAUAGUUUCCUCCAGAAGGCAAACUUGUUCCAGAGAGGGCUCAUUAAUUUAGCAUUAAAAAAGCAGGGACAAUUAGACAGUAGGUUGGGUUUUUUUUUCAGUCUGUGUCUGUGUAAUUUUGUUUUCAGACGAGUCAUUCCUAAAUGUGGUACGUGUUUGUCUGUGGACUCUUGAUCCAAGGGUUUCAUGGACGCCCAAAAUCAAGGUGUCAUCAAAACUUGUCUUAGCGUCGAAUAUACCGCUGAUCCAUCUUGAUGUAGUCAUUCAUUCAUUUAUAGAUACAUCUACCAUGUGUUUUAUCUCACUGAAAGGGCAAGUGAUUUUCUUUCUCUGCUGUGUCAGGGUGGAGAUGGACUAUGGUUCAACAGCAUUAAUAUUUAAGGGACUUCAGCUACUGGUCUGGCCCUCAUCCAUUAUUUGGGUGCUUUUUGACACUCACAGAUUGUUGUCCCUAGGUGACGCACAGACAGCAUCCAAAAUGUAACUCACUUAAAAACAGAGUUUGUCAUAGGUGAGGCUCAGGAAGAAAUUUAUCAGACGAGAUUCCUGGUUUGAUGACUUUUCGUUCUGCUGGGGGAUAAAAAAUGUAAGGAAAUAGUUUGGAAAUCAUUUCUUUGAAGUUAAACAUGAACGAAUAUUAUGAUAAAAUGCAUUUUGACUUAAUUUUCAGUCUGAUAUGAUGCUGUUUGAGGAUGCCCACAGGGGAGCACUUUGCCUCUUUCACCAGUCUGUCAUUAUAAGGUUGAAAUGAUGAGCCCAUAUACGGUCUGUAUGUAUGGAUCUAAAAGGCAGUAUAUCUCAGUCUCACAUACACAUGCAGACAAAUUCAGGCCCACAUACCUGAAAAUGGUUUCAAGGACUCGGGGGAAUGUGGCGGUUCUGACACUGAGAAGCCGCCCCCCCACCCCUCCUCAGCCCCCCAACAACCCACCACCUCUGUGUCCUGUUUCUGGGGCCCCUAAUGCAUCCCCAGACCCCUGCCAGAGCAGAGGCUCGACAACAUGCUGGAGCAAAUCAAGUAUUGACCUGAAGCAGUUAUGUGCUGUAGAACAUUAUAUUCUCAUCCGGGUGGCGUGGUGACUGUAAAGAACACUCUGUUUGCCGUGAAACAUGGCUUUGCUUAUGCGCUCUGCUGCACGCCCGGGCGCCCACGACGCUCGUACAUCAAGCGCCGGCCUUGUCGCUUGCUUUAUUGAGAGGGAAAACAAAGGGUUGAGCCGCUUGGAAUCAUUUUUUCUUGGGACGAUUUUUCAAAGCAGCACCAAAAGCUUUCCUUUUGGGGUUUUGGGGUGGCCGAGGAGAGGAGAGCGGGCAAUAAAAUUGAUGAAUGGCAGAUUGAUGGAUUUCAUUGCUUCGUUGAAGAGAAAAACAAGAGGGAUGCACAUAAGAUUUUUUUUUUAUAGUCGGAGAGUUUGUUAAAGUUACUUCUGACAAAUGGAGAUGCUUCAGUGCAGGUUUUUAUGUGAUAGUUUUUUUUUAUUAAUAGUAGAUAAGAGGUAGUUGGACAAGCGUAAGAAAAGGAAGAGUAUAAAAACGUUAAUUUGGAAAUUUAACAGUUUUGACAAAAUCUUGAUACCAUCUAUGUACAAAGAUCUAUUAAAGCAGAAAAUAAUGUGUCUGGUCUGACAAAAUUUGAGUUUCAGACUUCACAAAAAUAGUCAUCAUUCUGUAGAUAAGAGAGCUUCUUUGUCAAUGAGUUAAUAAGACGAAUAUAAGAGGAAGAAGAGUAUAAAAACAUUAAUUUGGAAAUUCAACAUUGUUUACAAAAUCUCAAUAUCAUCUAUGUACAAAGAAAGCUGGGAAAUAAUGUGUCUGGUCUGAUAAAAUGUGAGUUUCAAACUUGACAAAAAUACUCAUCAUUCUGUACGAAUCUUACAAACACGUUAAUUUGUAGGUUUUUGUGAUUUACACUAAAUUGGUCACUGAUUGCAACCAAAAAGCUGCAAUAAUGCCAAUGAUGAAGUAUGAUAGAGUAAGCCUUGUGCAGACUGGCACAUACUGUAUCUGUCCCUGUAAAGCACUUCUUCUUCUCUAGAAUCAUUUUCUGAUCAUAUUAAGGGUACGGUAUGGCAAAAAACUACUGGGAAUCCAAACUUUAUUUUAUAUUGAUCUAAGCAUUUAUGUUGAUCUACAUUUGGAGGAGGUUUUGACUUUAGUUUCCUUGUAUUUUUAACAGGUUUGUUUCGGACUUGAUGGCUUGAUGACAAAAUCUCAUCCUACUAAGGUAAGGAGAAGUGAAGGUCAACUUUCAUAACCUAGCAACGGUAAAGGCUAAGGUUGCUACCAGCGCAAAAAAACGCCCUAAAUCAACUCUGGUGUUAUUCCACUUAUAACUUUUUGCCAGUUGUUUGCAACAAGAAUAGCAUUUGUUACCUGGGAUAGGGUUCAAUAAGUAAAGACUUGAUGGUUAAGGUCAGAAAAGACCACUACAUCGUGACAUGUCAGGCCAUGUGAAGUUAAACUUUAAAUCUAAAACCACGACCUUUCCCUAACUUUAUAAUAAGCGUGAAAAUCUGCUCAUUCUCUGGAUUCUCCUCAAAGAUUUAUCGUUAGUCUGAGAAAAUAAUUAGUUCCCAGUCUAUUUGAGUACACUGAAAAGUUUGGAUUAUAACAGUUACGCUACAAAUAAACCUCGACACAACAGGUUGUUAAUGAAUACAAAAGUGUUUUCUUUUUAAUCAAUUGCUUUUAAUAAGAAAUAUCAUAUUUAAUUGCAAAACUGCAAUUUUUCACUCUUGCAUUCUUUCUCCCAGUCAAUACGAGGCCUUAGACUUUAAUAAUGAGCCAUUAAACAAUGUGUUUAGUAAAUUGAUCUGUGAAGAAACACACAAUCACCAACAGCCACUAAUGAGUUCCCAUUUGUCUCUGAGAGCAAGUCGAGAUGGAGUGAGCAGCCCCCCAUCCCUCUCUUUUCUCUCCGCUGUAUUUAUUCUUUUUUUCUUUCUCUUCUCCUCAACCUCGCUCUUUAAAAUCCUCCUCUUCCUCACAUUUUAUAGCCAGCUCUGUAUCUGUCCACUAUCUCUUCUCUCACCCUUCCUUCUCUCUCUCUCUCUCUUCCCUCCUAAAGGACACAGGUGACUGAACCCAUGACUGUCCUGGCGUCAGAGGAUGAUACAUAACAGCUCAGCCCCGAAUGACAAAUCCAGCCGACAGUGGGCCGAGAAGAGACAUAUUGAUUUUUCAAUGAUUAAUAAGUGGAAAAUAAUUGUGUUUCAUUAAGAUGGAUGGAGUUUCAUUUAGUCCUGUCUCCUCUUCUUCACUUCAGCGCUGGGCAGGCAAUCAAAUCUACCGCUACCACAACCCGUUAGCCUGCUAUGGCAACAAGGCCUGCCACGCGUGUGUGUGUGUGUGUCUGUGUGUGUGUGUGUGGAGAAGGAAGGCAAUGUGAAAAUAAGAUAAGAGUCUAUCUCUCAAAGGGGGAACACAUUUACUGGGAGAAAAAUAUACAGACCCCAUAGAGAGAUCAAAUGGGGACCACAAGAACCCAAUAUUUUAUCCUGAGAAUAUUUCGACAACACUGAUUAUGUUUACAUAUGUAGAGAUUUUUCACUCCUCCCAAGGUCUUUCAUCCUGGAUUUAGGUCAUCACAUUGGUCAGAAUGACUCUGGUUAGCUCAUACCUCUAUCAUGGAAACUGGAAACCACAAAUCAGUGUCGGUGACGGCUGGCCAAAUGUUGGCACAAAUGUCAGUCCCUUUGAAUCAAAGGGCUUCUUUCUGGAGUCUCUCAGCAUUUUGUGGUUACGUAGAUCACAGGAGGAAGAGAAACCAAUUUCCUCACUGAUAGUAGCUUCAGCAUAUUUAGCAUAGACCAGAAUGCACUGCAGUUGCAUCCCAGGCUGCAUAUUGAAUAAUGGGAACGGCUCAAGUGGAAAAACUUUUCUCCACUCUGUCUCGAGCGUUUACAGACGGGGACAAAAACAGACGUGUGUUUUAAUCAUGGAGUGACGGAAGCAAUGGUUGGUCACUAUUUUUGUAUUGAAAAUGAGUAUUUUUGGAAAUGAGGUAGCAUACAGUAUCCAUUAAAAGUAAAUGUCGUUAUUGCCUAAAUUAACUUAUUCGGCUUUGUCGGCUAUGUACAUCUGAAUACAGAGUUGUUUUUAUCGCAUAUGUUAGCUAAUUUUACCGAUUUAGGAGUAAACGUAAGCUCCGUUUAGACAAUCAUACAGGACUUUACAGUGCCAUCAGAGAACACGCACGUGUUUCUCCACCUGCAGCACCAAAAAUAUGAACUACCCCUUUAUUUUUCGGGCAAUAAGGCGCACCGGAUUAUAAGGCGCACUGUGAAUUAACAUGUCUAAGUCCACACAUAAGGCACACCAGAUUGUAAGGCGCAUUAAGCAUUGGUGCAUUGGUGCAUUGAUUGGUUUAUAGUUGCUAGCGCGUACUCCGGGCCUGGGCUGGCUUACAUGACUGCACUUCUAGUUUAGACACUACAGUCAGGCAGCCUUGUAGACUGCUCAGGGGUCCUGUUACGGGACCGAUCGGGUAGCGACACAGCGUACCGUAAUGCUCCAAAAAUCCAUCAAGCGGAGUGGCUUUGUUGCUUACCAAAGUCGUGCUUACACAUUUCGACAGAUUUUUGAGCGAAUUGUACCACAUAAAAUCGGUCAGUAAGCACAACAAGUAAUCAUACAUAAGGCGUGCUGAACUAUAAAGCACACUGUCACAUUUUGAGAAAAUUUAGUGAUUUUAUGUGCACCUUGUAGUCUGAAAAAUAUGGUACUCUAUCUAUCCCUAGCUCCUUAAUGAUUGCCUUACAGUAAAAAUACAAACAAAUUCCUGGUACGUUUGUUAUCCAAUGAACAUACCUCAACUUAAGAUAACUCCAAAGCAGACUAAAUACAUAGGGUGCGCAUUAUUUUUCGUCUCUCAAGAAGAUUAUUUCAUAUUUUUUAUUAAUUUCAAUGCUGGGACAUAAAAAUAACCGAAAUAACUAAAAAUAAUCUUUCAGGGGGUGGUUUUAAUGGAGGAAUCACGCAGCAUGUACAUUUGUAUUAUUCAUCAAGAUAUAUCAAUACAAUUAUCCAAACUAUUCUACAUCAUCCACUACCUGAUAAAGUGCUCUAAUUUGUCUAUUAAAAAAAGACGUAAUAACAUGAUCCUGGAGGAUGAAGCCUUACAAGAUAUCCUCCUGUUUAAAAUGAAGGGGUAAGGGGGAGUGGGGGGAAGGGUGGCAGCACCCUGGUCCUCCAUUCCAGCAUCCCUGUGUAUCACUUUAAUGUUCAUAUAAUGACAUCCCCUCCAAGUUUGUGUCAUGGGCCAUCAACAAUCAUAAUUGUAAAGUGAUUCAUUGACUGAUGUUGUCAACAGUGCACUUGUCAAGAGAAACUGAUACCAAAGAAAGAGAAUAGGGCUCUCUAAUGAAUAUAUCAAUAACCAGUGACAGGUGAAGGAGUGCUCCUGACUAAAUUUCAAAUAAGCUCUUACACCUCUCAUGGAUGCCUUCAUUUGUUGUGCGACCUCACACACUGCCAAAGGAGGAUGUGAAAUAGUACAUUCGACAGGAAGUUGUGUUAUCACAUUUUUUUUUAAGUGAUUGAAAUUUUGUAAUAAAAAUGACAUCUUAAUUAUGCAAGAAGACGUGUAUUUUGACCUGUGCUCUAACUGCCUACUGAGCAUUUUUUUAGUCUAAAAGAGGUCUAAUAGACGUCUCACUGUAGCCUAGACGACCGGUCUAAAUUGAGGCUACCACAGGUCUAAAAAUGAACGUUUUUUUAGAUGUCUAAGUUUAGACCAAGUUUAGACUAGCUUUCCAACAAAGGUCUAACUGUAUAUUGCUCAGCGGCUAUCAUAAUUAUUUUGGUUAAGUACUUGGAGAUCAGUUGUGCAACUCACAGUUGUUUUUUGAAAUAAAUAGUUAUCGAAUUAUGGGUUAGAGUACAAUGUCUAAAUUCCGUCUAAAAAUAUACAGAAUCUAGACGGUUAAAAUUAGGUCUAAAAGAAACCAGACGUCUAAUAGUCGUCUAUUGCUCAGUGGGUGCGAAAGAAGAGUAAAUGAUUUCUUUAAAAUUGUGUCAUGUCUCAGGAAGAAUAGUUCACUCAACAUUUUCUCAUAUCAAGGACACCGAAAGCUGGAACCUCAGAUUUGCUCGGCAGCAAUUUGUCGUCUUUGGCCCUGUGUGAGUGUUUGUGUUUGUCUUUGUGACUGUGUAUAAUCACCUACACACUUUCGCAGGGGAACGCUAGUGAUACAUCAACCAAAUGAGGUCCAGUUGGGGCCAUGAUCCAUCACCCAGUGUCUCGUCUAACAGUGGAGGUAAUGAGAAAGGAACCUAUGCAACAUUGAUGCGGCUAGGAUGCCGAAAACUUGUGGACAGUGGAAUUGACGGCCGGCUGAAGGACUGACGCCUGUUUAGGGUUUUACAACGAUUAAAAUGAAAUAUGUUUAAAAACUUGAACAUUUAAAUGUCAUGGUAACCAAAAGUGGGUUGAUCUGUCUUUGUGCACACGCUUAUACAUAUCUUGCUGACACCUGCCAUCCUCACCCAGUCUUGGGAACAAAAAUCUGGCCGAAAUGCAAUUAAAGGGUCACUGUGGUGCUCCAUUGUCACGUCACACUGGGGCUACCUCUCUCUGCCUGCUGCAUUAAUAGGGUUUCAAUUGCCAGCGCCUGCUUCUUAAUGGCUGAUUUAUUUCAUUUUAAUACCCUUGUCAUGAGGUAAGGUCUGGACUGUGGGUCGCAUAAUAGGGGGCCAUUUUCCUCUCUUUCUCCAGCGGGAAUGCCGGGCUCUAAAGACCUCGAUUUGAUAUGUGGGCCGCAACCCUUUUGAGUGAGGCAGUGGGGUGGAUGAGAUUGGGGGAGGGGAUAUGGUAAUUUUGAAUAUAAGAUGUGCAAUAUAUACUUAUUUAUAACUGCCUACUAAGUUAAGAUUACUUGCAUGCAAAUGGGUGAAUUUGAAGUAAAUGUUGGUCACCAUCACUCUCGAACACAGAACCACGAGUGAGGCGCAGAGAUUUCCUUGUGUGUGAUAUAAAACACUGAUGUGCAGUCAUAUCUCAAUUCAGCAUGGAUUUUCCCAGCCUCCCCGUCUUUGUCUUCAUCUCUCUCUGUUUUUGAAUUGUAGGACAACGGCAGCUCUGUUCCCAAGAGAAACUCAAUUGACUGGAACCACUGUCAUUUAACACACUAUUAAUUGACUAAUGUGCAUCACAUCGCCAUGCAGCAUAGGUAGACGAGGACCAUGGGGCCUUAUCACAGUGGAUUAUGGGAAAUUAGCUAAAGCAGCGACAAAACAGGCAUUCCUGUCUUUUCUCAACAUCAUAAGAGCGUACAAUUAGCUGUGGCACGGCGGAUGUUGCUGUUUGAGAUUAUUUGCACAAAGGCGAUUAUUCUAAUCACUUAAUUCCGGUAUUAUGAGACAUGUGCUCUGUUAAGCUUUAUAUAUCCAUGUCCCUAGACAACUGUGUGCAGACGAGACUUCAUCAAUAUCAUUACUCACUACAUUGUUUUACUCCAACAUCGCCUGUGUGAUUAAUGAAUAGGCAAAAGACAGUGUACAGCCAUAAUUCUCACAAAUCAAUUACUCAUGCUAAGGAGGCCUGUGUUGCAGAUCAGCUGUAAUAUAGUUAAUCAUACACUUUCAAUGGGAUGCAUGAAGUCAGUCACUGAGUGUGUGGGUGUGAAAACCUAAGCUAAUGUAGUAAGUGUUGCUUGCAGAUGGCGGUACAGUAAGCUACGUAUGGUACAAUGCAUGCUUACAUGCAGAACAUGCAGGUUUUUAUUGUCACACAUGUCCAUGUAAUUGCAUUUUGUGCAUUACAUGUUGCUUUUCUUGGAUAUCACACAAUAAACGAAGAAGACAAAUGCAUGUACUCUGCAUCAUCCCCCCCCUCCCCUCAACACAUGCUGUUUACAGUAUGCAGCAUCCAACUGUGAGCUGCGAUCCUGGAUGUUCCCAUUAGCAUAAGAGGCUUUGAAUUUACAUGUCUCUAUUUGUGUGUUCAUGAAAGGACAGUUAUCCCAACACUUUGAAAAGUCCACUUAAUCACAAAGAAGAUACACCGGUUUAUGAUUACAUGGCGCGUAAAAGUGAGGAAGCCAGCCACACAUCUUCUCACAAAUAAACGGACGUCCAAAACAUCAAUAAAAUCAUUAUUUCAAUUAUGCUCCUCGGGGUGUCAAAUGAAGUAUAUCCUGAUUAUGGAGCUGGGAUCCAUCCAUCUGCGCUCACUCUCCAAUCUGCCCUAACGGCUCUAAUUAGCUUUCUGUCUAUAGACUAAUCUUUCAUUCAUCAAUCGAUUGAUUUUCCUGUCUUCAUUACUACUGGGCUGACAUUGUGUUGCUGAGUUGAAAGCAAAGAUGGCCAAUCCCGUGCGAAAGGUUAAAUGUGUUAAGCUUGGCAACUAGCAGCGGACAAACCAUUGUUUGGGACAGGUUUAUAAAUGAGUGUGUCAUGAUCAGCUUCUCAUUUGAUGGCCAUUAAUAAUCUCAUGCAGCUGCUGAGGAAGAGACAUGAAGCAUUGUGUCCAGGGUUAGAGAAAAUAUGCACAAGGUCACAUUUUUAACCAGAUUUAUCCAUGUAUUUUGAAUAAAGUUGCACUUAUGUCACAUUUCCAGAUCAUUUCAAGUGAAUAACUGUUAUGUCAGCCGACCUGUAGCCGUGCAUAAACGGUAACAGCACCAAAAAGGCUUCUGCAACAACUCUCCAAUGAGGAUUAAAGCCACCGUUGGCUGGGCGGUGGCCAUGUCCACGUUUCCGUAAUUUCACUACUAUUUCCGAUUAUCGUACUAUAUCAAGAGGACGUCUCCCCCUCAUGAGUUCGCCUUGUUGCCUCCGCCAAGCUCCACCCACUGAUGCAGUAUCGUGCGACGCCAGUCACGGUUCAAAGCGGAGAUUACCUUGGUUUUAUUUAGAAGAAGCGGGUAAACUUUAGCACAGUAAGAACCUUUGCACAGAGCUCGCUGCGCCUGUCAACGGGAAAAUAAACAGAUGUAGUUUUUUUGUUUAUGACUGCGCGGGAUGAUGGAUUACAGAGCACAGAUAGCGGUAAUUAUCGGAAAACCAUUAACAUUCCGACACUAUCCAUACCCUCACACACAGUCUGUAUAGCACUUUGGACAUGGGAUUUAGGAUCUACAGUAUACAGAGAACAUAUGCUGUGCGGAAUAAACGCUUACUUAAAUCCACUCGCCUCACCCUCGGGUUAUCUUUAUCCUAUAUUUAUUUUUAUCCUCAUUUUCCCUGACUCCCUAUGAGUCUCUUUUUUUUCUCCGCACCAAGGUGUAUGGCUUUACAGUAAUGCAGCGUCUAUGGGAACAGUGAUGGCAUGCAUUGUCCCUGUUUGACAGCGUCUCAAUAGAUAAUCUCCGAAUGUCUUGGAUUUCGUUCAAUCUAUUAACCAUAAUGGCAUAUAUUUAGUGCUUUCUAACUUUGCCUUGGGCUUCUGUCACCCUAACACAGCAUUGGAAGUGGCAGCAUGUUAAAAGCAACCGAAUAGCACGCUAUCUGCUUGUUUAGAGAGCUGAAAAGCAUUUUGUUUACGUUGGAGGAGAGACAAUUUAUUUGAAAUUCGCAGCAAUAGGAGAAUUAAAGCUUUCUUCCUCGUGAAUGUAGGUGGAUUUCAAGACAAACUGAUAAAACCUAAUAAGCCCAGUUGACAGGACAGGACAUGCAAGGUGCUAUUGUAAAUAUGCAAUUCACGUCAACAAAAGCAGCUGCUAUCGUGCAGUGGGAAAGCUGCAGCCUGCAUACAGGUCAGUUGAGGAUUUCAUGUACAUCCAGGGAUAUACUGGAAAGAAAUCACAUUAAAUAUACCUAAGCUAAGCUUUUAUACAACACUAUCCCUAUCUUAUUUGCAUAAACACACACACACACUUUCAGACACACAUACAGUAGGCUUACAGGAAUUUGAUCUCAGUGCAGCUGAUAUGGUGAUGUCAAACUGGUGUGAGCUACAUAAUGUAAAAAAAACAAGCUCUUAAAAAAGAAAAGGCUGUUAUAUCAUGUAAAUUUAUGCUGUCGAAAUCUUGUAUAAACUGCCAUGGUUAUCUAAUACAGUGAGUUACUGAAAUCUAAAACUCCAGUUUGUCAUCUGUCAGUAUUUUCUGAUUACAUGAUAAUUUCAUGUCUCAGAUCAACAGCAUGUAAAAUUUUGGGUUUUACAUCAGCAUGACUUUUUUUUAUAGCUCUAGAGUUGUUGUCUUGGCUUUAAUUGAGCUAUACGGUCAGCUACACACACAGAGAAAAUGUCUAAGUGUCAGUUGAAUUGAUUGUUCUUUUUUAAUGUUAUUAUAUUUUAUCGUUAUAUUGACAGAAGGGGCGGCUGUGGCUCAGUGGUAGAAUCAGUUGUCUCCCAGUUGGAAGGUCUGGGUCCUUUUGUUGAAAAAAAAAACAGCCGGAUAACCAGAACAGAAGCGAGGCAAAGACACACUACAGCGUACCUGAGCUGAAGUUUGCUCUCAACAAGCUGAACAGAAGUGAGUCUCCCUUGUUAGUUUUUGUCUCUCUUUCUCUUUUUUUUGUACACUGCAUAAUGACCAAACCCAUGAGUCUCACGGUAUGCUAAUCUUAUGAAAAUACACCGUGUGCCAAACUAAGAGGAAAGACGAAGCUGAAACAACAAACUCCAUGGCCUUUACUUUUUGCCUGAUAAUGUUCAACGUCUGUCACUUAAAAUCCUGUCGAACAUUGAGAUGAAAAAUUAAUAUCACAAAUUCACAGUAGAUAGAUAGAUAGAUAGAUAGAUAGAUAGAUAGAUAGAUAGAUAGAUAGAUAGAUAGAUAGAUAGAUAGAUAGAAGACCGACUCUACUUCUGACCCACAGCCAUCUCAACACCCUCAGUCAAGUGUUCGUUGGCUCAUGCGCGUCAUUCACAGACCGUAUAAAACACAGAUGAUGUAACAGUGACGUCACUCGGUGGUUUCUGUGGAGGCUCAGAGGAGUCCAAAGUGGUGGUUACUGUUCUGGAAAUAUUGACUCAGCCUCACUUUGAAUCAACCUACACACAGGCCGAGAGGUGGAGCUGAGGUUGGUGUGAAGCCUUCUGGCAAGCAGCUAACACCGUGCCCUCCUGUCAGUCACUCAGCCAUCCUUAAAAUUAUGCAGAUGCAGGUUUUUGCAUAACAGUUACUGUACUUAGGGAUGGCAUAUACUGUCAUUUUACUUUCUGUUCCUGUCUGUUUUGUGUGGCCAAACCACUUUUUAAACACAGGCUGUAUAUAUGCGUUUAUUUCUGCACUACAAAUGGACAUUUAAACAUUAGACUUUAGUGAAACAUCUUAUAGUUGCCUCUGGAAAAAUGUAAUCACAAUUUUGAACAACCAAAAGGAGAAAAUUCUUCGCUAAACUAAAACUUGACUAAACAUUGAAUGAGUAAAAUGAAAUUAAUGAGUGUCUUUGUCAAAGAAAAGAGAGCAAGAAAUAAGUUUAGUAUAACAUGAAACUCGUAUGAACUUAAUUUAUUGUGUCAAGGAGGAAACUUCCCCUUUAUGACAAUAUCGUUCUGCAUUUCUGUCAGGAGACAGAGGCCUGUCCUCAGAUGCUAUGGGUGGAUCGGAAAUGAACAAUCAAGAUUAGUUCUUAUCCUUCCUUCCAUCUAUUUCAGUCCGGAAUAAAAAUUAAAGUCUGACUGAAGGAGGUCAAACUCUGAUAGCUCCGUCAUUUACAGGUCAAACCUCGCAUGAACUUGAUGGCACCUUACCUUAAGUGAUCCAUCUUCCACACUGUCGUCGUGUGUAGCGCAAAAACACAGAAACAAAAAGCCUGAUUUCUGCCUGGUGAUCAUGUCCGCCCUGCACGUUUAUGCUAAUAGCUGUGGUGUUGCAUGAUUAGUGGCAACUAUUUACAGUAGAGACAUUUGCUAAUCAACCCAUAGAGUUAUGCUGUAGAUCUGGGAGCAAUUACGUCCACACACACACAUACACACACUUACAUAUACACAUAUAUGUUCACAUACAAAGACCACAGCAUAUUUUCACACAAGCACACACACAGUGAGGAACACAUCAAUUACCAGGGUCAGCAUUUCGCAUUUAAUCUCCUUAUUGGAUCCUUGUUAAUGUUAACUACUUCCUUCCCUCGCAGUUUAUUUUGCUUUGGUGCAUGUGGCCUCUGCUCUCGGUGAGUGCUCAUGGACCAGAUCAUCUAUAACCUGCACAGAGACUGACAGACAGACAGAUAGUUAAGGGGGAGGACUGACUUCCAGCUGGAAGAGAAUUUCAACUUUUAUUUCAACUUGUAUUUAUUCUUUUGAAAUGGACAAAAAAGAGUUAGUUCACAGCCUAUAAUGCACUCUCUUCUUUUGAAACAUAGAUCUAAAAUAGUUUUGUCUACGUUUUUUUUCAAUGCUAAUUGUCUUUGUUUUCAUCAUUAGGCUGUGAUCAGGCUUUGGUAUUUUAGAACAAAUCAGAUGGCUCUCAAGAAACUGUCAAGAUCUCAUCAAGCUUUUAUAAUAGUUAUUCAUUUCUAAAGAACCAAAUCACAAAAAUACGUAUUUCCUACUCUUGUUCAGUGAUGGAUUAAGUACUUCUAACCCUAGCCCAAACCCUAAUUUCAUCAUACUACAGUCAAUUCCUUUUAAAGAAAACUACAACAUGAAUAAAACUUGCUUGGUGUUUUUUUUUUUUUUUUUAAACUUGUGUCAAAAUACUUAAUUACUGGUAAAUACUAAAACAUUGCAACUAUCUUAGAAAAUCUCAAAACGUACCUACAAAUACAGAAAAUUUUGUUUUAAACGUUCAUAUGGAUUAAAUUAUAUUUAGCUUUAUUGUCUUGUAUAGUUUCCCAGGUUGGACACUAAAUCUUGUCAUUACACAAACCUCGAACAUGGCCUUAAGAUGCCUGAAUAGCUCUUUUCUGAGAUGAGUGAUGUUUAGUUUGUUUGCACUAUAGCCUACCAUGAAGAGGUAUGAUGUACAAGUACAGCAACAACCACUUAGACAAAUUAGAUGUACACAAACACAGUUUAUUACUGAUUGUAUUCAGUAUUCAGUAUUCUGUAUUCAUUAAAAAAAAUGUAAGCUGACUUCAGAACAAGAGUAACAAGAAACAAAAACAUUCAGGUGGAUUCAAAAGUAAUAUCUUUUGAACACAAGCAAACAAGCUUCCCCUUUAAAUAAUACCUAAGUUAACUACUAUUUUGUUAAAUUAUGCAUGAAGUAACACAUGAAUCAACCAGUAGAAAGAACUGAACAUUAGAAUAAAAGAAAGGAGGAACACCUGAAGCAGAAUUUACUGCUAGAAAACCAUCUGCCUAUACCAGAUACUCAGAGAUGGGAAUUGUGGAGUCACCAAGUCAUCUCCAUGCCAUGUAUUUGUUCUGCUCUGUCACUGAACCAGCUGCUUCCAAUGAGCAGCCAGGAAGGUGAGCUCAUUAGUGAAGGCACCUGGUUCAGUAAGUGAGCAGAACAAAUACAUGGCAUGGAGAUGACUUGGUGACUCCACAAUUCCCAUCUCUGCAAAUACUUCAAGCUCUUGUGAAAAGUUUUUGGUUUUUGUCAAUUUUGGCACGCCUAAUGGAAGACAACAGUCUUGGUCCUCUCCGACAAAAAACUCAUAAUUCUGACUCUUGAAAAUAAAUUAAUUUCUUCCUCUGACAAUUUUAUGUGAAAUACGUAAAAUCAGACUGUUUCCUCAGCUGGUCAGCCCACACCAUAGACUGUAUAUACUAUGGACAACUUGGUUGCACCUCCCGCCUAUAUACGGAUUUGAAGCCAAAAAGCUCCCGGUAUUUCCGUGAUUUUUCUUCAUUUUCUGAAACCAUCAUUGGGCAGUAGCGUUGUACACAUUCGGCGGGAGAGUCACCGAGAGUCACUGUGAUGACGCGCGGCUCAAACCGCGUAUCCCCUGGGUGAGCUACGCAAUCUUCAUACGCCCAUAGGCUGUAUCAAGUGUCAAUCACAGAAAACAUUAACCCCAGAAAAAUUCAUUUCUGUCCUCUGCCCCAUAAGCUUUGCUGGCGGGGGCGGGAUUUAUGACCUAUACUGCAGCCUGCCAACAGAGGGUGCUGUUCUCGGAGUGGCUUCACCCAGUGAGGAGGCAGACUCUAUCCAUUCUAUACACAGUCUAUAGCCCACACCAACCCUCUCACACAGGUUUCAGGCAUUAGAAAUUACGGCAUACAAAUCAUUAUUAAACCAUUUUUGUUUGCUUUUAUAUAUCAUAACAAGGCAUUGAUUUGAAUUUCACUUUGUUUAAUAAAUGUCAAAAAACUCCUCAUAGGAGCUUUAAAUAAUUCUGGCUCUGCUGAUAAACUGCAACUAUGGGACAGUAAAAGACACUAAAUAUAAACUGGCAAAAUAUCAGCAGUAACAUGAAGACCUGACGUUCUUUUUUUUUCAAACAUUGUCAAAAUAAAUCAAAAUAAACUAUGCAGUCUACUUAAAGGAAAGUGGAUUUCUCCCAAUAUUUACUGACUUCUAUGAGUGAGCUGGACUUCUCAUCCUGCCCCACACUCCGUGAACAAAAGUUCCCACCAUUUCCAAAAGAGAGAGAGAAAAAAAAAACCUCUUAACCCCUCUUUAUUAGUAGAGAGUGUUGGAACAUUUUCCCUCUCUAAUUACAUAAUCAAUGGUCUUUUAAAGGUACGAGCCGGUCUCCAUCAUGGGGAGCAGCUGACCCUCACUCUGAACCUCUGAGGCUUACAAAAACGAGAUUUGUACCAAUCAGGGGAAGCUGACGCUUGACUUGGAGCCGUGGACAGAGAGUCAGGACCUCUAAUUAGGACUCCUAACCCCAUACUGACAGACAGAUUUGUUUUUGCCUUGCCCCAUGUUUGGCCAAGAUCUUCUGGGACUCCCAGAUCGGCAGAUACGCAAUCGAGAACUACCAGCGUCCAGCGAUUGGUGUUCAUUAACGGACUUGUUCAAACAAAACACAAUCAAACUCUGAAAGCUGCCUCGGCGCGCUAUCCAAAUAAUAGAAAUAAUAGGUCUUUUCCUCCUCUCGCUGCACUCCACAAAAAGUCAAGGGUAUGCCUCAUUCUGCUGGAAGUAUUAGCCGAAAAUAAAGGCAGCAAAAAGAGAGGAAGAAUCACAUUAACCUUGAAGUACAAAAUGUUCAGUCUUUGUGGCUUUUUGCAAACUUUCUUAUUAAAUCUAAAUUGCACAAAACGGAUAUGAAACGAGGAUGAAUGGAGUCUGAUGAUUAUUCAUCUUCUGCAUUGCAGCUUAGACACAGGGGGCAGUUAGGUAAAGAGAGAGUCCAGGCCGUCAGUGCUUCCUAUUAGGCAUCUCUGGUAUUUUCCAAACAGCUGCCUUUGAUUAUUCGCAGCAGGAGCCGCCACAAUACAGCCAUGAGAUAGCAUCAGCUGCCUCCAAUGGUGCAGCCAGGGACAGGCUGCGAGGACAGGAUGCAGAUGCAAACACACACAUACACACACACACAUGCCAAGGAAAGACAAAGGCCAAGUGGCGUGGAGGAGAGGGAGGAGGAGAAGGAGGAGGAGGAGGAGGAGGAGACGAUGGCCUGCAGUGGCUCUUCAGGGCUUCCUGUCAUUUUUUUUUUUUCAGUCCCUUGAGGCCAAAGAUACUUCCCAUGGCUGGUCACGCUCAUCCAGACCAUUUCACAUAGAAUCCAAACCUUAUUUGAUGUCAUACAUAACCCCAAAGCACCCAGACGCACUUCCCCUCUCUGGCAACAUUUUUUAUUAAGCAACCGGGUGAUGCUGCGGUGAGACAUGCUCUUCUAUGUUUUGUCCAACCUCCUCAUUUGUGAACAUGAAACUUAAUAAUUGUAGAUUUCAGCAUCAUUAUCAAUUAUUGCCUUUCUAAUACAAAAAGGCCAUUACUUUUUUUUUAUUAUUCAUAAAGGGAUGCAGAUGUCUCUGUGGGUUUCCUUCCAUAAAAGCUAAUCUGAUUAGAGAAAGACAAAGGUGAGUUCAACCAACGUGAUGAUAAUUGGGACUCAUUGCUUUUGCUUCAUAUUUCCUCCUUAACGUCAGGAUAAACAAGAAUAUUUAGGAAGCUAAUAAUCAAUCGCAGCAUUCGGUUAGGGCUUACAGUCUCCAUAAUAAGUCCUAAUGGGGCUCUAGUCUCAUUAAAAUGCCAAGGUGAGGUAUUCCGCCACCAUCUGUUGAAUCGAGCUGGGAAGGAGCUCGUACAGUCUUUCUAUUUCGGAUCAAACCAAGAUGAAGCCUUCCCCCGACUGCUCUCCUCUGCAGCAGGUGCUUCACGGUGUGCGCCGCUCUACACUCAACCCCUCUUUACCCACUGACAUUUAGCAGACACACAUUUUGAUCCCCCGCUGCCACGCUGCCAAAUAUUGAAAGGCAACAAGGAGCAUAAAGAGCACGUAUUUACUUAGCACUCAGCAAUGACACCGCGCAAGAGAGAGAGGGAGAGAGAGAGGUUAGGAGAGGAGAAAGUCAGCAGGGACCUAUCUGUAUCCAUAGAAACCUCAAUCAAAGCGGAUUUGUGACCUAACGCUGUAGUAUUUGCCGCUUUUUAGAAACAGUUUGAAGGUGAAAAGCUCUCAGUUCGCAAGAGCCAUUUGGCGAAUAAUCAGUUUGUUAUUGGUCUUAAAUAGUCCCUAAUUAAAACCCUGACCUCUGCCUGGCACCCCUUUCCUACACCUAACCUAAACAGGAAAAAUCAGUUUAAUUGCAGCAGGAGGAGAAAAAAAAAAAGCUUUUUUUUUUCUUGUAUGGAGGAGUUAAGGUGGUGAGAGGUAAUUGACCCUCUGUGAAACAAAUGAAUCCUCAGGGGGAUCUGGCUCAGAUGGACGUUUAAAUGCAAACAGUAGUCAGUCCACUGGCAAGAGAGAGGGCCAGGACUGCACAGCCCCCUCAGUCCCUGCUGAGAUCCUAUAAAAUCAAAUCAAAGAAUCUGACAUUUUCACUAACCAGAGGCCCUGGCGCUGGUUCCGCUACAAUAACAUAUGGACUAACGGGACAAAUUGAAAUGAAAGUUGUAAAUGAAGCUUACGUUAAAAUGCCUGGGAUCAGGAAAGAGAGAGAGAGAGAGCAGGAGAGAGAAAGAAAAGAGAGAGAGAGAGAAGAUUAGUGGUUAGGUGAAAAUGUUUAUUUUCACACUUCAAAGUUCCCAGCUUGGUGUGUGUGUGUGUGUGUUUAAGAUCAACAGACCUUGUGAUGAACAACCUGUUCCACGCUGGAAAUACAUUCUGUGAAACACAACAGUCCUCUGUAGAAACCUUGCAAAGCACUGACUGGGGAGUAUUGAAUUACAGCUCGACUUUACUGUGCAGCAGCAAAGAGAAAUACACUCUCACUGCCUUUUAAAGGAUGUCACUUUUAUCUGCAUGUCUCAACCUCGACACGGAGACACAAAUCGAGCCUUUUUAACUCUGAGGAAACGGCUCAGGAACCUGCUGAAUCAGUUCUGCAACGUGCUGAACCGCACCUCCACAUCAUGACUGGUUACCCCAGUUUGCUGUGUGUGCAGCAGCAGCUGUUCACCACAGUCAACAGCCACCGCUUAGGAAAUACAUUAUGUUACUAUUUUAGUGAUUUGCACAUGCAAUCUUUUUCUUCUACAAUUUUGACAAUAACUUUUUUUUUUUUUCUGUGGCAUUCAAAGUGCAAAAAUAUUGCAAAAUGUUUUUGUAGCAGGAAAAGUUGGAAGCAGUAUCCUGCAGCUGGGCGUAAAUCAGUCAACUUUUUUGGCGGUUUUUAAAAAGCAAAAGAGAUGUUGUAAAACAAUAAAAGACAUGAGACAGAUUUGGUAGAUUCACUCUGGCUAAAUUUUGAUUGAAAUCUACUCAACUAAAACAACAUUUCACAACCAGACGAUCUGCCUGUCAGGACUGUAAAUCAUGAACUCAACAAGAAGAAUUUGUUAGAUUGUUGUUACACUUUCAAGCAUUUCUCCUUUGCAGAUUAUUCAUUAAGCUACUAAUUAAGAAAAGUCCUCAACAAAACUGUAACUCAACAAGGAUUUUUUAAAGUCAGGAUCUUAACUCAGCCUGUAGAUCAAAUGUUUAAUGUCUGCAGAGUUCAUCAGAGACCUGGUCUCUGAAGGCCUUUGGCGUCAGAUUGAAGUCACAGCCGUCUGAGAGCCACUAAGACACCCUGUCUAUUAAAUCCCUCAUUUGCAGCACCAAGAGAUGGCAGUAUUUCACAGAAUAUGUGGCAGGAGCAGGCGGAGAGGUGGGGGAUGAUCAGGAGCCUCUGCAGCAGCACUGCUUUACAGCUUCUUCUUCAGUGUGAAUUGAAAAAAAAAAAAAAAGGUCUUAUGAGAACUUGUAAAGGAAUAUCUGAGGAGCAUAUUGUCAUCCCAUCCUUUGUUACAUCUCUAUAUGUCUCUUUUUAAUAUUUACAUCUCCCUGCUGGAUUGAAUUCUGCCACUGGCCCUCAGUUCCAGUGUGUGUUUAAAAGAUAAAAGAGUGAGUUGUAAUGUUGACGAAGUAAUAUACUGAAUCACAGUCGGUUUAUUUGUGGAGACAGAUGGAGUUAUUUCCUGUGUGAAAGCCUUACUGACAAAUAUUGGAGCUGAGAUAGCUGUCAAUCUGGCUUUUAUCAAAAUAGACUCCGAAUAAGGAAUGAAGUUAAAGGUUUUAUCUUUGUAAAAUCUGGUUUGUAGAUAUAUUUAAAGAUAUAUUUAUCAUACAGAAGAAUAUUAAUUUAAAAAUGUUAUAUUCCCGCGAAAAUUCAUCCCAUUUAGAAUCAGGAAGUUUGAUGUUACACUGUCUGUUUACGAGUCAAUACCAUCCAGUCUGGCGACACACUUAUUUGUGCCCUUGGAUGACAUGUUUGUGAACCGUGUAUUGAGAGGCAGCUGCUCAAAUGUUAAUGUAGGAAAUCAAAACUAAAUAAACACGUUACACCAAAUGUUUCAUCAGCUGUCACGCUGUGGAAAAAGGAGGGUCACACAAUAAGAGGAGAGACUCGCUCCUCUCUGUCUCCAUCAUGCAUGCUUUUGGAGAGCCUGCCAAAGUUUUGAGAAGUGAAAGAUUUUUUUUUUUUUUUCUGGAAGUCAAUAUCUGUAAAAAACAAACAAACAAAUAAACAUACAAAAAAAAAAAGAAAAAAAAGAAGCAGAUUUAGAUAAUAAGCUCUUGGCUAUCAGGGUGUAUUGACUGCACUCAUAAUUCAUUCUUUACAUCUUUGCAUAAAUUUUCUGCAGAGCUAGGGUAAAACUUGAUUUAGUUAUUUUUUAAAAUUUUAUUUGGAUGGAAUAAAUUUGCAAUAUACAGACACAAAAAAUAACAUUAUUAUUUUCAAUCUCUGUGUUUUUGUGAAUAAAGAAAAAAUGUGUGCACCACUUUGUAGCUGGAGUACAGUGCAUGAGUGACAUUGCAUGUCAGUGCAUGCAUGCUCACGGGAAGGCAUACGUUGUGAUGUGUGUGUGUGUGUGUGUGUGUGUGUGUGUGUGUGUGUGUUUGAGUUCUUCCUCCUUUUGCUUCCUUGUAUCCUGUGCAUAUCUGCAUAUCUUUACAUGCGUGAGAGUGACUCUGCGUGUGUGUGUUUUAGUGCAUGUGUGUUAUUGUGUGUGUGUGUGUUACAGUGUGUGGAGGGUAGAAGUCAGGCCUGGGCCUUUGUAAUGAGCAGCCUGGGUUCUUUCUGGUUCAGCUGCUCCUCUCCCUUAUUUCACGCUGCGCUGCUCUCCGACUCCAGUGGCCCAGUCACUAGAGUCCUGCGUCUCUCUUUCCUCCUUCUUUUCUCUCUUUCUUUCCCUCACACCUUUCUUUCCUCCUUUCCUUUCCUUUUCUUUGUGUUAGUUUUUAUGUUUAAUUUAAUCUCAUUUACUCCUUUUUCUUCAUCUUUAUUUUCCUAUCUGUGUGUUUUUACACCUAAAAAACUCAGAUGCAAAAAAGAAAAAAAAAAGAAGCGGGUGAGUAAGCGAGGACGAUAGGGAGGGUGAGUGGAAGAGAGAGAGAGAGAGGUAAAGGAGCAUGCAUGAAUGGUCACUGCUGCCCCAUACCAUUCAUUCCACUCAGCGAAGCCCUCCAACGCCCCACCUCACCUCCUCCCUCUCCUCCACAGACACCAGCACCACCUCUGCAGGCCUCUGUGGAGUAAAGGAGCCGCUUUAGCAAAGCAAGGCAUUUUUUAACUAGAUGUUUUUUUGCAUAAAUGUCCUCCUUCCUCCUUUUUUAUCACCUUUAAAAGGUUAUAUAUCCAGCUCGAUAUGUUUGAGCAACUUCCCUCUCUUUUAAAAGAUAAUCCUCAUCCUUCUUUUUGUCGAUCUGACCUUGUGUUUAAGCACAAACUAACUAAAGUGGAGGUAUAUGGAGAAGGAUAGGAAGGCUAAUUUCCCAUCCAUCCAUCAAGUGCAUUUGCCCACUGAAGCUGAGAGCACAGAUGCAGCCAGUAAGUGCUGCUGCCUCACUAUACUCCUGCACACACUCAUACUCAAUGAGCACAUUGAAAGGAUGAAGUCAUGAACAAAUAUGGAGAAGCAUUAUUAGAAUAGUAAUAAAAGAGAGGGGGGAAAUGUGACUACGCCUUGACUUAUUUCCCUUUCUUGUGAUGAGGGAGAAGAAAGGAUGUCCCCACAGAGGGUCCAAUGAAAGCCAGCUUUCCAGAGAGGAGGCAGGGGGGUGAAGAGGACUUCCAGGC